ACAUCACUAUAAGCCUUGCAAGCAAUGUAGCUAAUGAGUUAGGUACGGAAUGAUGCAUUACGUAACGAGUAAAGAGACUUGCCGGUAACGAGAUUGAACUAGGUAUUGGAUACCGACGAUCGAAUCUCGGGCAAGUAACAUACCGAUGACAAAGGGAACAACGUAUGUUGUUAUGCGGUUUGACCGACAAAGAUCUUCGUAGAAUAUGUAGGAGCCAAUAUGGGCAUCCAGGUUCCACUAUUGGUUAUUGACCGAGAAUAGUUCUAGGUCAUGUCUACAUAGUUCUCGAACCCGUAGGGUCCGCACGCUUAAUGUUACGAUGACAGUUAUAUUAUGAGUUUAUGAGUUUUGAUGUACCGAAGGAGUUCGGAGUCCCGGAUGAGAUCGGGGACAUGACGAGGAGUCUCGAAAUGGUCGAGACAUAAAGAUCGAUAUAUUGGACGACUAUAUUAGGAGUUCGGAAAGGUUCCGAGUGAUUCGGGUAUUUUUCGGAGUACCGGAGAGUUACGGGAAUUCGCCGGGGAGUAUAUGGGCCUUAUUGGGCUUUAGGGGAAAGAGAGAGGAGAAGUUGGGCGCCCCCCCCCCCCCCAAGGCCUAGUCUGAAUUGGACUAGGGGGAGGGGCUGCGCCCCCUCCUUCCUUCUCUUCUCUUCCCCCUUUCCUUGACUCCUACUCCUACUACUUGGAAGGGGGUAAUCCUACUCCCGGUGGGAGUAGGACUCCUCCUUGGUGCGCCUCCUCCUAGGCUGGCCACCCCCUCCCUUGCUCCUUUAUAUACGGGGGUAGGGGGGCACCCUAGAACACACAAGUUGAUCUUCGUGAUCGUUCCUUAGCCGUGUGCGGUGCUCCCCUCCACCAUAUUCCACCUCGGUCAUAUCGUCGCGGAGUUUAGGCAAAGCCCUGCGCCGGUAGAACAUCAUCAUCGUCACCACGCCGUCGUGCUGACGGAACUCAUCCCCGACACUUUGCUGGAUCGGAGUCCGGGGAUUGUCAUCGAGCUGAACGUGUGCUGAACUCGGAGGUUCCGUACGUUCGGUACUUGGAUCAGUCGGAUCGUGAAGACGUACGACUACAUCAACUGCGUUGUCAUAACGCUUCCGCUGACGGUCUACGAGGGUACGUGGACAAUACUCUCCCCUCUCGUUGUUAUGCCAUCACCAUGAUCUUGCGUGUGCGUAGGAAAUUUUUUGAAAUUACAACGUUCCCCAACAGAAAUUGUGUUUCGUUGGCUCCCUUGAUGUUUUCGAGGUACGUAGGUAUAUAUAGGAGGAAGAAGUACGUCGAUGGCCGCUUGUGGGGCCCAGGAGACAGGGGCGCGCCCAGGAAGGGUGGGCGCGCCCUCCUAUCUCCUGGCCGCCUCAUUUGCUUCUUGACUUGCACUCCAAGUUCUCCGGAUCACGUUCGUUCCAAAAAUCACGCUCCCGAAGGUUUCAUUUCGUUUGCAAUCCGUUUCAUAUUCCUUCUCUUCGAAAUACUGAAAUAGGCAAAAAACAGCAAUACGGGCUAGGCGUCCGGUUAGUAGGUUAGUCCCAAAAAUUAUAUAAAUGUGCAAAAUAAAGUCCAUAAACAUCCAAAAAGGGGUAAUAUAAUAGCAUGGAACAAUCAAAAAUUAUAGAUACGUUGGAGACGUAUCAAGCAUCCCCAAGCUUAAUUCCUGCUCGUCCUCGAGUAGGUAAAUGAUAAAAACAGAAUUUUUGAUGUGGAAUGCUACCUAGCAUGAUUCUCAAUGUAAUUUCCUUUAUUGUGGCAUGAAUGUUUAGAUCCAAAUGAUUCAAAAUAGAAGUUCAUAUUGAUAAAAGAAAUAGUAAUACUUCAAGCAUACUAAUAAAAGCAAUCAUGUCUUCUCAAAAUAACAUGGCUAAAGAAAGUUCAUCCCUACAAAAUCAUAUAGUUAGGCUAUGCUUCAUUUCCGUCACACAAAAAUGUUCCCAAAUUCUACACCCCCGAUGACAAGCCAAGCAAUUGUUUCAUACUUAAAUAAUCUCAAACUUUUUCAACUUUCACGCAAUACAUGAGCGUGAGCCAUGGAUAUAGCACUAUGGAUGGAAUAGAAUAUGAUGAUGGGGAUUGCGUGCAGAAGACAAAAAAGGAGGAAGUCUCACAUUGACGAGGAUAAUCAACGGGCUAUGGAGAUGCCCAUCAAUUGAUGUCAACAUGAGGAGUAGGGAUUGCCAUGCAAUGGAUGCACUAGAGCUAUAAAUGAAUGAAAGCUCAACAACAGAUGACCGCCGGAUCUAGCUCUUUGACUUCCGCCGGACUGGGUCUGACCGGUUGACCUUUUCACCUGGUUGUCGUAGCCCAGCCCAUAGCUGCACCCCCAACACCAUCCCGGCCCAACCAACCCAAAGAUACCCUCCGUGUCGACCCGACGUGGCCGUUUCCCCCCUCCGGGACACGGCGGCAGCCACAUCGGCACCUGGAGGGGGGAAACAGACGCGUCGGGUCUACACGGAGGGGAUCUUGCUGUGGGUCUGGCCCGGAUGUUGCUCCAAAGUGUUCCUAUGGGCUGACCUAACACAAUCGGGUGGAGAGGUCCACUGGUCAAAGCCCGUCCGUGCAAAGUCAAAGGGCUAGAUCCUGUGGUCAAACGCUACAGGGUUAGGCGGGACGGGGGCCCUAGGGGGUAGCAAUGCCACCGGAGCGUCGCAUCGGGCCCUCAUACAUGCAGGGUGGUGUGGUGGCAUGUCCGAAGAGGCGGCAUGAUUCUCCGGGGAGUGCCCCCCUCACGGACGGUGCCGCCGCCGGCACCUCGAGGUGGGAAAUGGACGCGUUGGGUCUACACGGAGGGGAUCUUGCUCUGGGUCUGGCCCGGAUGUUGCUCGAAAGUGUUCCUAUGGGCUGUCCUAACACAACCGGGUGGAGAGGUCCACUAGUCAAAGCCCGUCCGUGCAAAGUCAAAGGGCUAGAUCCCGUGGUCAAACGCUACAGGGUUAGGCGGGACGGGGGCCCUUGUGGGGUAGCAACGCCGCAGGAGCGUCGCACCGGGCCCUCAUACAUGUGGGGUGGUGUGGUGGCAUGUCCGAAGAGGCGGCACGCGUCUUCGGGGUGUGGCCCCCCCCUCACGGACGGAGAUGACACGGUAGUAGACGUUCUGCGGUAACGAUGCGGCGUGAAUAUUAUUAAAUAGUCAGAGCGCGAUGAAAUCAUGAGAUUUUUACACAACGUGGGCACAUGUGUUAUAGGCUGAUGGUAAUUUUUCAUAAUUUUUGGGGAUGGAGAAGUAUCUGAACACUUCCCUCUAUGCGGAUUGCUGUCGGCGUGUCUACAUUGAGGCCGGUGGCCUCCGGGGGCUCGCAUGCCGCCAAAUCUUGCGUAGGCGGCCUCUCACAAGUCUGGAAGUGUUGUGGCGGUUGCAGAAGCCCGACACGCGUCUCCGGGGUGUGGCCCUCCUCACGGACGGUGUCGUCGAUGGCCGUGAGGGGGGGAACGGACGCGUCGGGUCUACAUGGAGGGGAUCUUGCUGUGGGUCUGGCCCGGAUGUUGCUCCAAAGUGUUCCUAUGGGCUGACCUAACACAACCGGGUGGAGAGGUCCACUGGUCAAAGCCCAUCCGUGCAAAGUCAAAGGGCUAGAUCCUGUGGUCAAACGCUACAGGGUUAGGUGGGACGGGGGCCCUGGGGGUAGCAAUGCCACCGGAGCAUCGCACCGGGCCCUCAUACAUGCGGGGUGGUGUGGUGGCAUGUCUGAAGAGGUUGCACGCAUCUCCGGGGUGUGCCCCCCUCACGGACGGCGCCGCCGCCAGCACCUGGAGGGGAGAAANNNNNNNNNNNNNNNNNNNNNNNNNNNNNNNNNNNNNNNNNNNNNNNNNNNNNNNNNNNNNNNNNNNNNNNNNNNNNNNNNNNNNNNNNNNNNNNNNNNNNNNNNNNNNNNNNNNNNNNNNNNNNNNNNNNNNNNNNNNNNNNNNNNNNNNNNNNNNNNNNNNNNNNNNNNNNNNNNNNNNNNNNNNNNNNNNNNNNNNNNNNNNNNNNNNNNNNNNNNNNNNNNNNNNNNNNNNNNNNNNNNNNNNNNNNNNNNNNNNNNNNNNNNNNNNNNNNNNNNNNNNNNNNNNNNNNNNNGGAGCGUCGCACCGGGCUCUCAUACAUGCGGAGUGGUGUGGUGGCAUUUCCGAAGAGGCGGCACGCGUCUCCGGGGUGUGCCCCCCUCACGGACGGCGAUGACACGGUAGUAGACAUUCUGCGGUAACGAUGCGGCGUGAAUAUUAUUAAAUACUCGGAGCGCGAUAAAAUUAUGAGUUUUUUACACGCCGUGGGCACAUGUGCUAUAGGACGGAUGGUAACUUUUCAUAAUUUUUGGUGAUGGAGAAGUAUCUGAACACUUCCCUCUACGCGGAUAGCUCUCCGCGUGUCUACGACUGUGGCCGACGGCCUCAGGGGGCUUGCAUGCCGCCAAAUCUUGCAUAGGCGGCCUCUCACAAGUCUGGAAGUGUUGUGGCGGUUGCAAAAGCCCGGCAUGCGUCUCCGGGGUGUGGCCCCCCUCACGGACGGCGCCGCCGCCGGCCGUGAGGGGAGAAUCCGACGCGUCGGGUCUACACGGAGGGGAUCUUGCUGUGGGUCUGGCCCGGAUGUUGUUCCAAAGUGUUCCUAUGGGCUGACCUAGCACAACCGGGUGGAGAGGUCCACUGGUCAAAGCCCGUCCGUGCAAAGUCAAAGGGCUAGAUUCCGUGGUCAAACGCUACAGGGUUAGGCGGGACGGGGGGGCCUGGGGGUAGCAAUGCCACCGGAGCGAUGNNNNNNNNNNNNNNNNNNNNNNNNNNNNNNNNNNNNNNNNNNNNNNNNNNNNNNNNNNNNNNNNNNNNNNNNNNNNNNNNNNNNNNNNNNNNNNNNNNNNNNNNNNNNNNNNNNNNNNNNNNNNNNNNNNNNNNNNNNNNNNNNNNNNNNNNNNNNNNNNNNNNNNNNNNNNNNNNNNNNNNNNNNNNNNNNNNNNNNNNNNNNNNNNNNNNNNNNNNNNNNNNNNNNNNNNNNNNNNNNNNNNNNNNNNNNNNNNNNNNNNNNNNNNNNNNNNNNNNNNNNNNNNNNNNNNNNNNNNNNNNNNNNNNNNNNNNNNNNNNNNNNNNNNNNNNNNNNNNNNNNNNNNNNNNNNNNNNNNNNNNNNNNNNNNNNNNNNNNNNNNNNNNNNNNNNNNNNNNNNNNNNNNNNNNNNNNNNNNNNNNNNGGCAUUUCCGAAGAGGCAGGACGCGUCUCCGGGGUGUGCCCCCCUCACGGACGGCGAUGACACGGUAGUAGACGUUCUGCGGUAACGAUGCGGCGUGAAUAAUGCGGCGUGAAUAUUAUUAAAUACUCGGAGCGCGAUAAAAUCAUGAGUUUUUUACAUGCCGUGGGCACAUGUGCUAUAGGACUGAUGGUAAUUUUUCAUAAUUUUUGGUGAUGGAGAAGUAUCUGAACACUUCCCUCUACGCAGAUUGCUCUCCCCGUGUCUACGACUGUGGCCGACGGCCUCCGGGGGCUCGCAUGCCGCCAAAUUUUGCGUAGGCGGCCUCUCACAAGUCUGGAAGUGUUGUGGCGGUUGCAAAAGCCCGGCACGCGUCUCCGGGGUGUGGCCCCCCUCACGGACGGCGCAGCCUUCGGCCGUGAGGGGGGAAAUGGACGUGUCGGGUCUACACGGAGGGGAUCUUGCUGUGGGUCUGGCCCAGAUGUUGCUCCAAAGUGUUCCUAUGGGCUGACCUAACACAAUCGGGUGGAGAGGUCCACUGGUCAAAGCCCGUUCGUGCAUAGUCAAAGCGCUAGAUCCCGUGGUCAAACGCUACAGGAUUAGGCGGGAUGGGGGCCCUGGGAAGGGUAGCAAUUUCACCGGAGCGUCGCACCGGGACCUCAUACAUGCGGGAUGGUGUGGUGGCAUGUCCGAAGCGGCAACACGCGUCUCCGGAGUUUGGCCCCCUCCAAGUGAUGGCGGCACUGCCUUGCGUGGAGGGGGGCACGCUGCGGAGCCCCAAGACGGGCAUCUACGCAUGCCUGAACACUUUCACAUAUGCAUCGGGAUCCGUGCGAUGUUUCGGUGACAUAGCUACACCCCGAAUCCUCCCAUAACCAGAUUCCUUCCGUGUCGACCGUUCCCCCUCCCCCCCAGUGACACGGCGACAGCGACGUUCGUAACGGGGGGCAAUCAAUAUACCAUAGGGGUAUGUUUUUUUAAAUAAGGCAUAAUUAUCUUAUGGAAAAACAAAAAAUAAUAUAAAGUAAAAUAAAAAAAUAAAAAUAAAUUAAAUAUAUGCCGACGGCAAGGACGUCGGCAUAGAUAGGCAGACGGAGGUGCAGUCCCACGGAUCGAUGACGUGUCAUCGCACACACAUCGAUGACGUUGCAGAGGGGCAUGGGCCAGACCUAUGCCGACGACUAUGCCGUAGGCAUACCUCUGCCAUAGAUAGUAUAAAGUAAAAUAAAAAAUAAAAUUAAAAUAAACGUAUGCUGACGGUAAGGCCGUCGGCAUAGCUUCGCACACGGAGGUGCAGUCCCACGGAUCGAUGACGUGGCGUCGCACACAGAUCGAUGGCGUGGCAGAGGGGCAUAGGCCAGGCCUAUGCCGACGGCUAUACCGUAGGCAUAUCUCUGCCAUAGAUAUGCCAACGGCCGCCGUUACCUCCCGUCGGCGUAGUUUCAACGCCGUCAAACGGUCAGCGCUGACCGGUUAUGUGGGCCCGUGCUAUGCCAACAGCCUAGCCUAUGCCGACGGCCCCCGUAGGCGUAUAUCUAGCUGUCCCGAUGGCUCCGUCGGCAUAGGGAGACGUAUGCCGACGGCUUUUCUAUGCCUAUGGCCUAUCCUGGGCCGUCGGGAUAGGUCUAUCUAUGCCGACGGGGGCCGUCGGCGUAAGCAGUUAUUCUGGUAGUGAGUGUAGGUAAAUAAAUAGCAACCUCACACAUAUUGAUGCAAGGAUGAAUGGUGGAUGUGGUACCGGUAGGUGACAUUAAACGCGCAAACUGACUUUCUGGCGGCGCUAGGGCUGUGGGGUUUGUUCACCGAACGUUUUUCGCAAUCAUAAGAAUUAAGUACGAAGUUCUCCAAUACACAAUAAAUUCUUGUUGCAAGAAGCAAAAAGAAACAAAUCCAAAAGCCAAGUGAUAUAUAGUAGUGGAGUUCAUUCAUUGAGUCUAAAGGGGUAAAAGCAUUGAGGAUGCAAAGCAGCAAACAGAAAGGGUAUGAGAACUGUAGGAAGUAGCCGAGCACCAUCAUGCACCGCACUACUUCCUCGAGAUAGCCAUAGAAACAUCAGAUAUCUCAUGAAGGGGGGCUCAGCUUAGACAUCGAGUAUCGAUGUCUCACUAGGCUCACAGAUGUUCCCUUGUUCAUAGAGGGAUAUAGACGGGGAUGGCUCUUUGGUCCAAAUAGGUUUCAGGAUGUUCCUUCUGAAGUACUCCACCAAAAGGGCAGCGAUAGUGAGGAACUCGCCACCGUUGCUCAGCUGCUUGGCAUGAGAAUACCCGCUGCAUCUGUACCCCGCGUAGCACAAAACUUCCGCCCACACUUCCGAAAGCAUCUUCAGCAUAGCAGCGGAUGGGACAGAGUCAUGAGAGACCAGCUCACGAGCAAGUUCGCGUGCUAAAACCAUUGUUUUGUUAUCGCCAAUGCUUGGUCGUUCUUUGAUCUCCUCUAAAUGUUUCAACAACUCAGCCCUCGAUGUUAGCAAGCUGGCCAAAUGUUGGGCUCUGCUGCAUUUGAGACUAGUGAGACAAUAACACAAUUCAACGUACCUAGUGUGGCUGACGGAGCCCGCUAGCAUGUAGGGGCGUGUGGCAAGGAGGAAAAGCAUGUAAUUGGAGAUCGCCUCGGUUGCCUCAACAAGGCGAUGCAUCUGAUCUGCAGCAGCUUGCCCCUGAUCUCUGUGCUUACGGAGGUAGAUAUCGGUGGCGAUGUGCCAUGCGAGGAUGCUCUCGUCCAACUCCUUAUCCAGGAACCUGCCUAGUCUCUCGUACAAACCCCACUUCUUUAAAGCUGCCCGGCCCCGUGAAUUGAUGAUGUGAUCUGGCUCCUCCUCAUUGAUCUUGGAGUAGAAGUGUGCAUCCCUCCACCUGGAGUAGGACUGCGCAUCCGUCCUGCGGUGACUAGUUCCGAGCACUUGUUCCACCACUACUUCCUUGAUGAUAGUUGCAGAGACACAUACAAAGCUGGAAUAGACCAUUGUGUUCCACCAGUCCUCGACCCCCAUCCAGCCCGCGAUUCUGCUUCUUCGACUAACCUUACUGAGAACACACAUGUCAAUCAGGUUGUGCUGCCCCAUAGAGUCCGACCACCACCAUCUCGAUUCGUCCCUCUUUGGAAGGAUGAAUAGGCGGAUAGACGCGAUUGCACGGUCAAGCAAACGCCAAAUGUACUUUCUUUUUCUCAAGACAUCACCUUUUCUCAAGCCAUCACCAGCCGGCACAACAUGCUUGAGCCCCCCGCUCAGGUCCGUUCGUAUCACGUUUUGCCAUCUAGAGAACAUGGCCCUUAGCACCGAUACCAUCUCCAGCAUAACAGCCCCACCUAACAGAACAUAUGUAAUGACAACAUCUGCUCUGCUGUAGUGGUCACCCGCUGACAAAUCUGACAAGUGGAAUAACACCAACGCGAUGGCGGUGAACACCGGAGAAAUGACGCGGAUGCAAAGGCCAUACCAUGUGUGGAUCACCUCAGCCUUGCUGUAGAGGACAUCGUGCAUCAGGCUGAGCUGCAUCUGCACCACCUUGUACAGCUCGUCCACGGAGAUUGCGUCGUCGUGUCGGUACAUGACGAUGGGCAAUGGCCCCUGCAACAAAUCCUUUGGAAUAUUGAGCAGGAGGUGGGCAAUCCGUAGCAGGCACUCUGUGUCCCGCCGAUUUGUAUAAGGUUCCGUCGAAAUCAAGGCCGUCUUCUCAAAGGACCGGUAGUUCUUGUCCGAAGCGCUAGUGCCGGCACGCUUGAGCGCCCACACCCUCUCCCCGUACUUGACAAUGCCCACCAUAAACAUGAUGGCGGCGGCCUUCUGGAGCAGGGCCUGGGUGCCGACGAUGACAGACUCAUAGAGGACGUAGGCAGCCGCGGCUACCUGCACGGUGAGUGACUGCAGGUGCCGCAGCCAGAGCCGGUUGUCCUCGAUGGCGUAGGCGGUGAUGUUGUCCUGCCCGCCGAGAUGCACCAGCAGGAACGGCGCCCAGAAUGCCAUCAGCUGGUGAUCGCCUGAUCUGCUUGUCAAGGACAGGUGUCCCAGGAUGUAUAUCGCGGUCGAGUCGGCCAGCAUGUAGGCUGUCCAAAUCACAGCCCUUAGCAUGCCAGAGUCUUUUCGCCGGCGGAACUCCGCCAGGAUGAGAAGCACUAGCUGCAUCGCGAAGCUGAGCAGCACCAUCACUUGGAUCCCGCGUUCUUGCCAUUGCUCCACUUGCACCUCCACCGUUGCCAUUGUUUCUCCACUGCAGUAACAAGUACUAUGAAAAAAAUUACAUACAAGAAACAAACUGGACUGCAUGUUGUAUGUCGGUGUAAUUAUGUUUAAAUUUGCCUUUUUAAGUGGUACUCCCUCUGAUGCAAAAUAAGUGUCGCAGUUUUGACACUUAUUAUGAAUCGGAGGUAGUAUCUUUCUCUCUACAGUACACCGAAAAAUUAGAGCUUCUUAAUAUUAAGUUGCUAAAGAAACAUUGCGGAGCCCCCUCUCAAAAUCUCCCUCUUUCUCACACACACAAACGUGCGCACGCACACGCUGAAGAAACUGAUUUGCCAUCUAAUGUUUGGAGUGCGGCUACAUCUAAUUAAUAAAGAAACUGAUUUGUUGGAUGAAGUAUGAAAUAUAGGUGUUGGUGCGAUCGAGUAACUUACAUGGAUGAUAUAUAGCAGGAGAAGUGAAGGAGCAAUGACCCUGCCCGCCCCCUUUCUUGCUGCCGCUAGUCUAGGUACCAGAAGCAAAAUUUGAGGUUUGUCGAGAAGAGAAGUGAAGAGAAGCUAGCUUUGGAGGAUUAGUCCUCGGCGCACAGCAUGAUGAAUGGAGCCUCAGAAAGAGGAAUGCAAUGAGACGUAUUCUCUGCUGGUGAGGACAAUAGAUCUACACCCACUGUACAUAAUAAAUAAAUGAUCCCACGUGGUACUAGCAGAAGACUAAAUAUAGAGACCCCAUCUAGUCUUUGCUUAAAUUAAGAAGCCUCCUCUCGAGAACAACGCAUCCACACAUGGCCCCCAAGAAGCUGACAAGCUGUGAGUGAGUGUGCGUGUGUAGACUGUAGAUACAGUCUGGCAGUAUUCGCUGUGCGUAUCGGCAUCAUGUUAAUGGAGCAUCUUGCACAUGUUCUCAGACGCAAGUGAUUUUAGUUUUCAAUCCCCGAAGAAAGAAGUUGUUUUAUAUUUAGCAUGAGCUGGUGGCGAUGAAUGGAAAUUGCCUGCUUACUUGGUUUUGGUGUGUGCAGAUUAAUUUUGAAAGUCGCAUGCGCCUCGCGCCCGGUGACCCGCCCUGAUGGAUGACAUGUGGCAUUCACAAAUCACAAAGCAUCUAAUCUCUCCCCUCUGAUUUCAGGUGGGGGUGGGGGUAGGUGCUUUGUGAUUUGUGAAUGCCACAUGUCAUCCAUCAGGAUGGGUCUCACCUGCUAACCCGUGAGACCUGCUCUCAUAGAAUUUUUUUCCGUCGCACGCCCUGACUAGGAAGGCGUCCUCUUCAUUAGGUGGCAUUUAUUCCUGUCAUGCCCGUUCGCUGCUUUGGUUUGGAGCACAGUUCACGUUACUCCCUCUGUCUAGGUGUGUAAGUCAUCUUACAAAAACCAAAUAAUCCCAAAACACUUUGGCGCGGUGCGUUAACUUCUACCUCGUUUUUCAUUUUUUAACAUAUCAACCAAUAAAAGAUAAAGGGUGUGCAUGCUUUUAAUGACUUGAGACUAUCAAACACGACAUGCAGUGGUUAGUUCAUUGCAUGCAAUACUAUUAAUUAGCAAAUAAACAUUAAUGUUUCUUAUUUUCCCCUCCUCCUUGGUCAUGGUGCACAGUCUAAGAUGACUUACUCACCUAGAUGGAGGGAGUAGUUUCAAUUUAUCACCACCAAUAACUAUAUCAAAUUGUCUCCUCAAAAUAAAAGUAUAUCAAAUUUGUUUGGUAAUAUGAAGGGCCAAAUUUGCGUGGAAGUUUGUGCUAUUCUUUGGGUAAUUUGGAAUUGCCGAAAUGAAUGCGUUUUUAAUUGAUCAUCGGGCUAAGAAUAUUGAAUGAGCUCAAUCAGACGUAUUAGCCCGAUGAUCAACAGAGAAUGGAAGUGCAUUGAGGACCGUUUAGAUCAACCAGACGUAUUAACCCAAUUCACCAUCGUAAGCUGACCAACAGAGAAUGGAAGUGCAUUGAGGACCGUUUUGAGAAGAAACUGAGUUGCUGGUGUCGUGGUUCUAAGUCUGACAGAAGAGUGGGGGGUAGGUAUGGAGAGGCAAGGUCCUAGCUAUGGAGAGGUUGUAAACACAAGCGAUGUACGAGUUCAGGCCCUUCUCGGAGGAAGUAAAAGCCCUACGUCUCGGAGCCCUGAGGCGGUCGAGUGGAUUAUGUAUGUAUGUGUUACAGGGGUGCGAACCCUUCUGCCUGUGGAGGGGGGUGGCUUAUAUAGAGUGCUCCAGGACUCCUGCCAGCCCACGUAAUGAGGGGUUUAAAGUACAUUAAGUCUGGGCCGUUACUGGUAACGCCCUACAUAAAGUGUCUUAACCACCAUAAAGUCUAUUCAAUUACAGGCCGUUGUAGUGCAGAGUGCCUCCUGACCUUCUGGUGGUCGAGUGAGUCGUCAUGGUCGAGUCCUUCAAGUCAGUCGAGUGAGUUCCUCCUUAGUCGACUGGAAGGUGAUCUCUUCUAAGGGUGUCCUUGGGUAGGGCCCUUGGAUCAGGCCUAUGACCCUACCCUAGGUACAUGAAUCCAUCAUUAGCCCCCGAAUGGAUUGAGGCUUGAGUGAGGAAGGAGUUGGUGUUGUUUCCGAUUGACUUUUGCAUACUGGCUAUGCGUUGUUCUGGAUCAAGACCCUCUUUGUUGAUAACGAGCAACUUUUCUUCAGUCGACUCGAUCCAUUCUUGUCUUUCGUCGAGUGAUCUUUUGGACUUUGCCGGUUCCCGAGCGACGGAUCGCAGGAAAUCUCGCGUCUGACAGAUCGAUCUGCCAUUCGCGGAUUCUACGGGAUACGAAAUUUGGGGAAGCGCGCGAAGCGGAACGGACCGCGUCGCUCGGACGGGACAGGACAUAGACGCCUCGAUCUCCGCGCCGCUUUUUCCGCCACAUAUCACGUCAAUGCAACUGUUUCGGGAUAUGAUUAGACUGACCGGGCCCACCCGUCAUCCACUCGGAAGGGACCUUAUAAGUGCGGCCGGCGAGGGUUUUCUGAACAGUGCUUCAUCAUUUCCUCUCUGCUCUCUUUGUCUCCGCCCAACGCGUCCACUUUCGCCUCCGCAAAGCUUCUCUUCGCGCAUCUCGCUGGCAGCCAUGGUCAAGGAGAAGACGGCGGUGCUGGAGCGCGCAAAGAAGGCAUCGGCGGCGGAGAAGGCAAAGGGGAGAUCCACCAGUCGCAGCGGGUCUUCGUCUAGAUCUCGCCUGCCGAAGGGCUGGGUCCAGGGAGAUUGGAUCCAGUCGACCAUCACGGAGAAGGAUCUCCUCGACAUGGCCAACGACGGGCUGAUCCCCCACGGCGUCGCAAGGCUUCCGGGGAAAGAGUGGCAGCCCCAGCCGGAAGAGGGUGAGUGCGUGCUUCUGGCCACCCAUAUCGACCGCGGAUUUUCCUUGCCACCGAGUGUUUUCUUUCGUGGUUUUCUGAACUUCUUUGGAGCCCAACUUCACCACUUCACCCCGAACUCCAUCGCAUAUCUUGCUGCGUUUGUAUCCAUGUGUGAGAAUUUUCUGGGCUGUCGACCGCACUGGGGCUUGUUCAAGCACAUAUUCACAUGUCGCUCUCAGACCGUGAAGAAGGCGAGCCCAGGCGAUGAAAGAACCCAAGUUGUCCAGAUGUGUGUGGGCCUGGGAAUCCAAGUGAGGAACAAGAGCACUUUCCCAGCAAUGACGUUUCCUGAGUCGGUCAGAGGCUGGCAGUCGACCUGGUUCUACUGCCAGAAUGAGUCGACGCCGGGGCAGUCGAGUGGACUUCCUCCAUUCACCAUGGACCGAGUGAACAAGCCUUCCUCUCUGAAGGUGAUUCCGGAGGAGAGAGCUGACGUGAAGAUGUUGAUGGAUCGCGUGGUGCAGCUGGUUCGAGACGGAGUUACUGGCAUGGACCUUUUGGAGGUUUUUCUUAGGCGGCGCAUCUAGCCCCUUCAGUUCCGGAGCCACUGCAUGUGGUUGUACUGCGGAACUGAAGACGAGACUCGGAUCCACCCGGAACCAGUCGACGACGCCACGGUGGAAAAGUGGAUGGCCGCGGUCACUGGGAACAAGGAUAAUCCCCGCGGAUCCAGAAGAAUUUCUCCACUCGACCACCACAGCGUUCCAGACAAGGUAUGUUUGCUCUAUCUUCCAUUGUAUUCUUGUCAUAUUUAUUUCUAUUCCAUACGCAAGUUGGUCGAUUGAUCUCUGUCUUGACGUCUUUCAGGCCCUCACCGAGCUGUACUCAAUGCCCAAUGGAGCUCAGGCUCCGACUGAAGAAGGAGAAGCGAGCGGGGGCGAGAGCCAGGAGGAGUGGCACUCGGACACUGCUGAAGAUGACGACGACGAUGAUGAGGACGAAGAUGAGGAGGAGGAGGAGGUUGCUCCACCGCGCUCGGAAAGGCGGUCGAAACUUGUCCAUGACCCAGCGACUGAACGUGGUAAGGGGGUUGAGACUGCCUCGCACUCGACCAAACUCCCUCGGACCGCUUCUCCGGCGCCGACUGAAAAGGCGCCGAAGCAGUCGAAGGUGGCUCCGUCAAAGCCAACCAAGCUCCUGCCGAAGAUGAAGGUGUCCAUCCCCACCAUAUCAGGGUAAACAUGCUGCUUAAGUCUUCUUGUUUUGUACAAGCUUUAUCUCUGGUUGGUACUUGAGUUAACCGACUGAUUCUUUGGAACUUGAGUGCUGCAACUUCUGAGACCUCAGGAAAGGCUGACGACCAUGAGAUGGAGGACGCAGCAACCUCAAAUCCUGGUACUAUACUCCUAAUUCUGUCUUUAGUCGACUGACUCACGAUUUCUAACUCUGAUUCUUUUCUGAAGCUCCAUCCAAUGUCGUUAUCACCCUUCCUGAUGAUGAUGAUGAGGAUGAGGAACCGCUGAAGCAUAGGAGGAGCAGGAAGGCGUCUACUGGUAAGGCGGCCCAGGAUGUGACGGUGCCCGAGACUGUGGUCACGGAGGGGGAGAACACCACUCGACACACCGUGUCUUUCGCGGUGCCCUUGACGAGUGCUCAUCCCACUUCAUCGAGUGCCGCUCAACCUUCGCUCUUCACAACGCACCACGUCCCAGAGGACCAAGCCAGCGCUGCUAAGGAAGCGAUACGCCAAGCAGGAGUCAUGAUGGAGAAGGUGAAGGCCAUCCGGGACGCGAGUCAAGCAGCUUAUGACGCCAGCUCCGCCCUUCAGAGCAAUGUCCAGGUCAGUCGACCAUCGCUUGUUCUGUUAGGAUAUGCUAUCAAAACUUCUCUUUCCGAAAUCUAUAGCAAUCACCCACUGGGAGUGUUGAGUAAAACUCCGUGUUAGCGGGGGCACGCUGAGUGCACCCGCUGGGUGUAGUCCCCAAGGUUAAGGUCGACUACUGGCAGUCGGUCUUAGGCUUUAUAAAUAAAGUCUUUCCGUCAUUCGACUGAGGCGAAUGGAUUUCCGAAACCGGUGGGGGCACGCUAAGUGCACCCACUGGGUGUAGUCCCCGAGACUGUGGUUGACUGCUGGCAGUUGAUUACAGUCUGAAGAAUACGUCUCUUUUUUUUUGGAGGUCGACUGGUCGACUAGUGGGGGCACGCUGAGUGCACCCACUUGGUGUAGUCCCCGAGACUACGGUCGAAUGCUUGCAUUCGGCUGUAGUCUUAGAAACGCAUGAUUUUCUCUUAUCCACUCGGAAGUGAAUUAUCUUUGAUAUUUUGUCGAUUGGCUCUUCUCAGAAAUCCUGUGACCUUGCGGCUCGCUAUACCGAGCUUGAACAGAAGCACAUUCAACUCGAGCUAGAUCUGAAGCUGGUUCAGGAGAAUCUGACGAAGGCGAAGGAGGAGACCAAAGGUAUGUUCGGUGAGACUUCGACGACUCCUUUUUCCCUUCACUUGUUUCAAAAUCUGACCUUUCUGUGACUUGCAGGUAAGGUGAAGGAAGCCCAGAAGAAAAAAGACCUUGAGCUAGCUGAGAAGAUCAAGCUUGCUGACGAGAAGUUAGCUUCAGUCACCAAGCUCGAAGAAGAGAAUACUAAUCUGAAAGCUGCUCUUGGGAUUGCCAACAAGGAAGUCACCCGACUGAAGACUGACAAGACUGCCCUAACCGACAAGAUCAAUCAGCUGACUGGGAAGAAAAAUGACCUGGAGGCCUUCCUGAGUGGACUUGCCAAGAAGUUGUUCCUUAUGCUCGAAGGUAACCCUUUAUACUCGACAACCAUUUUCAACUUUCAUGCUUCCACUCGACCACUGCCUUGACUCGGUGUUUGUCCUUGCAGAAUUCUGUCGAAACUUUGAAGAAGAAACUAGCCAGUUGGAACCAAACCUUGACCCCGUCAAUUCUCCAGUGAAUGAUGAAGUUGCCAUGAACGUCUUCCGACUGGAGUCCCGUGUUGCAGCUGUCGUGGACUAUCUUGCAAGACUGAAGGUCGCCACGUCCCGCAUCGACUCGACGCUAUGGCCCAGGGCGACACUCCAGAAUGACCUCGAGUCGCUGAUGGCUCGGCUGAACACAGUCCCUGACCGAGUGCAGGAGUGGAAGAAGUCCUCGGCUCAUUGCGGUGCAGAUGUUGCUCUGUGUCUGGCCCGAGUCCACUGCAAAGACGCGCGAGAAGACAAGCUGGCGGCUCUCUGGGUGGCCAACACCAAGAAACACGACUUCAGGUCCUUCAUGGAAACCUUCAUCGCUGCAGCCACUCGGAUCGCAGACGGAAUCGACCUUGAUGAGUUCGUUGCUCCUUCCAGCCCUCCACAGGAGGGGUAAAAAACUUCUUUUAAGCCCGACACUUUAAAUUUGCCUCGGUAUGCCGAGUGGAAUUGUAACCGAUAAACCUUAACAGGCUUAGCGCUUGAGCACUUUCGGUUCCUUUAGGUAUCGACCUAAACUUGGAUUUGAUGUUUUAAUAUGAUUGCUUUUGGCUCGAAAUGUCCUUUGCAGGUUCACCGCAAGAUGCCCACUGCAGUCGACUUAUUCCUUAGGCGAGCACUGGGUUGCUGCUAAGCCUCCGAGUGAGAGGUUUGCUCUUCACUCGGUAGGAUUUUUAUAUCUUACGCGAGCACUGGGCUGCAGCUAAGCCCCUGAGUGAGAGGUUUGCUCUUCACUCGGUAGGAUUUUUUAUAUCUUAGGCGAGCGCUAGGCUGCAGCUAAGCCCCCGAGUGAGAGGUUUGCUCUUCACUCGGUAGGAUUUUUUAUAUCUUAGGCGAGCGCUGGGCUGUAGCUAAGCCCCCGAGUGAGAGGUUUGCUCUUCACUGUGUAGGAUUUUUAUAACUUAGGCGAGCACUGGGCUGCAGCUAAGCCCCCGAGUGAGAGGUUUGCUCUUCACUCGGUAGGAUUUUCACGUUGUACUUGUGACGGAGCUCAGAGGAAAGGAUCACAGUCGACCUGCACCUCGUCCCCCUUACAAGCGCACAUUGUACUUAUGGUGUAGCUCGGAGGAGAGGGUCGCAGUCAACCUGCACCUCGUACUCCUUGCAAACGUUCGUUGUACUUAGACGAGUAUUUAAACUGCAGCUAAGCCUCCGAGUGGAAGUCUGGCUUACCACUUGGUAGGAUUUAUAUAACUUAGGCGAGCACUUGGACUGCAGCUAAGCCUCCGAGUGGAAGUCUGGCUUAUCACUCGGUAGGAUUUAUAUAACUUAGGCGAGUACUUGGACUACAGCUAAGCCCCCGAGUGGAAGUCUGGCUUACCACUCGGUAGGAUUUUUAUAACUUAGGCGAGCACUGAGCUGCAGCUAAGCCCCCGAGUGGAAGUCUGGCUUACCACUCGGUAGGAUUUUUGUAACUUAGGCGAAACGGAUUCGCAGCUAAGCCCCCGAGUGGAAGUCUGGCUUACCACUCGGUAGGAUUUUUACAAACUUAGGCGAAACGGAUUCGCGGCUAAGCCACCCACUGGGGGGAAAAUUUUAUGGGACAAAAUAAAAAGUGACAAAAAUUAUGGAGGAAUUAUGACACUAAUAUUUCGAAAUCCAUGAACUAGAAAAGUACUUUAUUACAACUCAUCCGAGUGAAAAACUUUAAGUGUAAAAUGGGCGGAGCAGAUCCGCGUUCCAAGCUCGGGGCUCUUCGAUAUUGUGUUCGACGUUGUAAAGGCGAUAAGCCCCGUUGUGGAGAACCUUGGUGACGAUGAAGGGUCCUUCCCAAGAAGGAGCGAGCUUGUGUUGUUUCUGCUGAUCCACUCGGAGCACUAGAUCUCCUUCCUGGAAGGCUCGACCUCUCACAUUUCUGGCGUGAAAGCGACGCAAGUCCUAUUGGUAGAUGGUCGAUCGGAUCAGAGCCAUCUCCCUUUCUUCCUCUAGAAGGUCGACUGCGUCUUGACGCGCUUGCACUUCAUCAGUCGGUAAAGAGGCAACGCCUUUUCACCGAGUCGUGAGAUGAAUCGACUUAAUGCGGCCAAGCAUCCAGUAAGCUUCUGGACAUCGUGCACUCGCACAGGGCGUUUCAUUCGGAGAAUAGUGCCUAUCUUCUCUGGAUUAGCAUCGAUCCCUCGCUCGGAAACGAGAAAACCGAGUAAUUUUCCACCAGGAACUCCAAAUGUGCACUUUGACGGAUUGAGCUUGAUAUCAUACCUUCUGAGGUUGGCAAAUGUUUCGGCGAGGUCAGCGAGCAGGUCGGAACCCUUUCGUGACUUGACGACGAUAUCAUCCAUAUACGCUUCCAUAUUCCGACUGAUUUGAGUGAGUAGACACUUCUGAAUCAUUCGCAUAAAUGUGGCUCCGGCAUUCUUGAGGCCGAAUGGCAUGGUGAUAUAGCAGAAGCACCCGAAUGGAGUAAUGAAAGCUGUUUUUAUCUCAUCGGGACCAUACAGACGGAUCUGAUGAUACCCGGAAUAAGCGUCUAGAAAAGACAAUCUCUCGCACCCCGCGGUCGAGUCAACGAUUUGAUCUAUGCGAGGGAGAGGAAAAUGAUCUUUCGGGCAGGCCCGAUUGAUGUGCUUAAAAUCAAUGCACAUGCGGAGCGACUUGUCCUUCUUCGGAACCAUGACGACAUUAGCGAGCCACUCGGAGUGGUAUAUCUCGCGAAUAAAUCCGGCCGCCAACAGUCGAGCCACUUCCUCACCAAUAGCCUUUCUCUUCUGGACGGCGGACCGCCGAAGGUGCUCUUUUACUGGUUUUGCUGAUUUGUCGACUCUGAGGCGAUGCUCAGCAAGUCCCCUGGGAACACCUGGCCUGUCAGCUGGCUUCCAUGCAAAAAUGUCCCAGUUCUCACGGAGGAACUGGAUGAGCUCUUCUUCCUAUUUCGGGUCGAGUGUUGUGGAAAUGUGGGUCGGGGCUGCAUUGGGGUCGGUCGGGUGAAUGUGGACAGGCUUCGUCUCACCGGACGACUGAAAUGCAGAUUCUAUGGCGGGUUUCUUGGAUCGCAGCAAAUCACUCGGAUCUGCGUUUUGCUUAUACUCUUCAAACUCGACCGCUGUCACCUGGGAAUCGGCAAUCUUCGAGCCCUUCUGAAAGCACUCUUCUGCCUUUUUCCGAUCACCGGUGACAGUGAUCACUCCUUUGGGACCAGGUAUCUUCAGUUUGAGGUACACGUAACAUGGUCGAGCCAUGAAUCGUGCGUAGGCUGGCCUCCCCAAAAUGGCGUGGUACGCACCCUGAAAAUCCACGACCUCAAACGUCAACUUUUCCUUGCGAAAAUGCUUUGAAUCACCAAACACCACGUCCAGAGCUAUUUGGCCGAGUGACUCAGCUUUCUUCCCUGGUAUGACUCUGUGGAAACUCAUGUUGCUGGUGCUCAGUCGGGACAUCGGAAUGCCCAUUCCUUUCAGUGUGUUUGCAUAUAACAAGUUCAGCCCACUUCCACCAUCCAUCAGCACCUUUGUCAGUCGAGUGCCUUCGACAACUGGGUCGACCACCAAAGCUUGCCCCCCAGGGGUGGCAAUAUGAGUCGGAUGAUCAGACUGGUCGAAUGUGAUGGGUGUUUGGGACCAUCUCAGAUAACUUGCUUUUGCUGGGGCAACCAUGUUCACCUCGCGGUUAAUGACUUUGAGUCGACUCUUGCUUUCCACAUCCGCGUAGAUCAUCAGAGUGGAGUUGACAUGCGGAUAUCCUUCCUCACUGUCCUCUUUGUCUUCGGCCUUGUCCGACUCCUUCUCCUUGUCCUUAGACUGUUUUCCCUGAAACUGCUGGAUCAGGAGUCGACAUUGGCGAGUGGUAUGCUUUGGGUAAAUGAUGUUGCCCUCUUCAUCUUUCUUCGUGUGGAUGUGACAUGGCAUAUCCAUCACGUCGUUUCCUUCUUUAUCCUUCACUUUCUUAGGAUUCCAGGAUCCUUUUGGCUUCCCCUUGAACUUUCCCUGAGUCACGGCCAGGGCCUCUCCAGGAGCUGCUGGUUCGGCCUUCCGCUUCUGUUUCCGACUGGAGUUUCCCUUUUCCGACUGACUUGGCUUGUACUUGCCGCUUCGAAGUCGGUCCUCUUCCUCGCCGUUGGCGUACUUGGUAGCAAUCUCCAUCAUCCGACUCAGGGUCAUGUCCCCGGUUCGACCAAACUUCAGACUCAAUUCUCUGUUCUUGACGCCAUCUUUGAAGGCGCAAACUGCCUGAUGAUCAGACACAUUUUCCACAGUAUGGUGCAAAGUGAUCCAUCUCUGAAUAUACUCUCUGAGAGUCUCAUUGGUCUUCUGCACACAGACUUGCAGCUCUGUCAAUCCAGCUGGUCGCUUGCAAGUUCCUUCAAAGGUUCUGACGAACACUCGGGACAGAUCUUCCCGAGUGUAAAUACUGCUAGGAGGUAACUGAUUCAACCACGCUCUGGCUGAACCUUCCAACAUGAGGGGCAAAUGCUUCAUGGCCACCUCGUCAUUCCCACCACCAAUCUGAACAGCCACUCGGUAGUCCUCAAGCCAAGUUUCGGGCUUAGACUCACCAGUGAACUUGCUGACUCCUGUUGCCAAUCUGAAAUUGGGGGGAUCACUGCGGCUCUGAUAGCCCUGCUAAAACAUUCUGGACCAGAAACAUCCACUCGACUGCUCGUGGGAGCAUCUCUCUCGGGUUCGCCUCGAUGGGCUCUGUUCCGGUCGACCAAGCCUUGCACGAUAAUGGAUCGCGCGUCGAAGCCUGGUUCCCUGGGGUCGACUGGAGCUCUUCGCCCCACACUGAGCUGACGCCUGUCAUCCUGUCGCCGAGGAGCGUAAGACCCAUCCCUCGGAGGGGAAGCGGGCACUCGACGCCUGUCAUCUCGGUCGUGUCGGUCUCCAUACUGAUCUCGCCGAUUGUCGCGCCCUUCCCGCCGCGGAGGCGAUCUGGGACUGUGAGCCGACUGAACCGUAUUCGCAGCGACGGAUCGACUGUGAAUUCUAUUGCGCGACUGCGACACGGCUGAGUUCUGGUCCCCUGCUGCCCGGAGUAAAUCUCUGAUCUGCAUCAAGCCUCUCCCAGCUUCCGACUGAGAAGGCUGGAUGGACUCUGCUAUACGGGUUGCAGCUGCUAAAUUCUAAAUUGGUGUUCGGUAUACCUGAGUCGGCGGGAAGAGUCGACGUCGAUUGGCGUCGGGUACUCGUUGCCGCGCGCGCUCGUUGAGUGCUCGCUGAAGGUUCUCCAGACGAGCGCGUUCAGCCAGAUUGGCCAAACGUGCCUCCUCCAAGGCGCGAGCCUCGGGGGUUUCUCCCGCGAUGGGAGUAUGUAGGGCAUCCAUGUUCCUGCGGCGAAGCUCUUCUCUCUGCAGAGAGUCGAGUGUCUCGGGCUGGUACUCUUCGUGGUCUUGUGCGGGGUCGCCUCCACCGCCUGCUCCGCCCUCAUGGGCGAAGCCAGGAGGACUGCGGGGUCCAUUGACCAUCAGGAUUUCCGCCGCCGGAUCACUGCUAUCGCAUUCGGAUGCAGUCUCUACGGAGCCAGUCGACAGAUCGAACAGGCCGUAGAGAGAUUCGUCGGGCUCGAUUGCCGCAACUUGGGCGAUGGCCGCCUGGCGAUCCACCGCGUGCUUCACCCACCGCUGGAGCCUCGACCGACCAGAGCGCUUGCGCUGGUGGGAGACCGGAAGGGUGGCCGAUAGGGGAGUCGACCGAUACGGGGUCGACGGUUGCCGCAGCAGAACACCGCGAACACAUGCGCGAAAAUGCGUCGCACCGCGGACGGGGAGCGCAUCAACGUCGAGUGGAGCCUCCUGGAGCCACGCGGAGUCGUCGGCGACGAAGGUGAGAGCACCGAGACGGAUCUCGCGACCCUCAACCAAAACUCCAGCAGUCAUCAUGAUGAAAGUACUCGGAAGUAUUGCAACUUCUCCACAAAUCGCUAAAACACCCGCCCCACGGUGGGCGCCAACUGUCGUGGUUCUAAGUCUGAUAGUAGAGUGGGGGUAGGUAUGGAGAGGCAAGGUCCUAGCUAUGGAGAGGUUGUAAACACAAGCGAUGUACGAGUUCAGGCCAUUCUCGGAGGAAGUAAAAGCCCUACGUCUCGGAGCCCUGAGGUGGUCGAGUGGAUUAUGUAUGUAUGUGUUACAGGGGUGCAAACCCUUCUGCCUGUGGAGGGGGGUGGCUUAUAUAGAGUGCGCCAGGACCCCUGCCAGCCCACAUAAUGAGGGGUUUAAAGUACAUUAAGUCUGGGGCGUUACUGGUAACGCCCUACAUAAAGUGUCUUAACUACCAUAAAGUCUAUUCAAUUACAGGCCGUUGCAGUGCAGAGUGCCUCCUGACCUUCUAGUGGUCGAGUGAGUCUUCAUGGUCGAGUCCUUCAAGUCAGUCGAGUGAGUUCCUCCUUAGUCGACUGGAAGGUGAUCUCUUCUAAGGGUGUCCUUGGGUAGGGCCCUUGGAUCAGGCCUAUGACCCUACCCUAGGUACAUGAAUCCAUCAGCUGGAAAGGCAAGCUCAUGUCAUACGGAGGACGAUUAAUUCUUAUUAAUUCGGUCCUCACGAGUAUGCCCAUGUUUCUUCUCUCCUUUUUCGAAGUACCUGUUGGAGUCUUGAAGAGGCUAGAUUUCUAUCGAUCACGCUUCUUCUGGCAGAGUGAUGAACUUAAGCAAAAAUACAGACUUGCUAAAUGGGAUAUCAUCUGUAGGCCGAAAGACCAAGGGGGACUAGAUAUUGAGAAUCUGGAAGUGAAGAAUAGAUGUCUCCUUAGCAAGUGGUUGUUUAAGCUUUCUGUCGAGACGGAGGCCACUUGGGCUCAGAUCUUGCGUAACAAGUACCUUCACUCUAGAACCUUGUCCUAGGUGACAGUGAGGCCGACGGAUUCACCUUUUUGGAAAGGAUUGAUGAGAGUUAAACCACUCUUUUUAAUAGGACAAGGCUCAUAGUUGGAAACGGUACCGCUACGAGGUUCUGGGAGGAUACGUGGCUAGGGGAGACGCCCCUCGCACUCCAAUAUCCUUCUUUGUAUAACAUUGUUCAGCAUAGAGACGCUUACGUUGCAACAGUUCUGCAGUCCACUCCGCUCAAUAUUCAAUUUCGGAGGACGCUAGUGGGAAACCGUUGGGAAGCCAGGCUCAAUCUUGUGAGAAGAUUGAUGGAUAUUCAGUUGUCUCAACAACCGAUCAGUUGUGCUGGAAACUAACUAAGAACAGAGAGUUCUCGGUUAAAUCCAUGUAUUUGGAUGUUAUAAACUCUAGCGUAAUUCCUAGCUUGAAACAUGUUUGGAAAGUUAAAGUACCUUUGAAAAUCAAAGUGUUUAUGUGGUUUGUGCAUAAACAAGUUAUUUUAACUAAGGAUAAUUUAGCAAAACGCAAUUGGACAGGAUCUACAAGAUGUAGCUUUUGUGACCAACAUGAAUCAAUCAAACACCUCUUUCUUGAUUGUCUGCUGGCAAAAAUUAUGUGGCGGUUGGUUCACAUAGCUUUUAACAUUUCUCCACCGAAUUCAGAAAACACACUUACAUAUAGGUAAAGUGAUCUACUCUAGAUAUCCCUAACUAAACCAAGGGACAACAUGAAAUCCGUACGAAGAAAUUAGAUGGUGUUAUCUUCAAAGUGGAUUUUGAAAAAGCGUAUGAUAAGGUCAAAUGGCCCUUUUUGCAGCAAGCCUUGCGUAUGAAGGGGUUCAAUGAGUCUUGGAGAUCUCAGGUGGGUUCAUUCAUACAGAAAGGUAGUGUCGGAAUAAAAGUCAACGAUGAUACAUGACAUUUUUUCCAGACACGGAAGGGGUUACGAUAGGGAGAUUCCAUGUCUCCGGUGCUGUUUAACAUUGUAGCGGAUAUGUUGGCGGUACUAAUUGGUCGGGCUAAAGAGAGCGAUCAAGUACGAGGACUCGUCCCACACCUAGUAGAGGGGGGAGUCUCCGUCCUACAAUACGCGGAUGACACAAUUAUAUUCAUUGAACAUGAUCUUGCAAAAGCUAGGAAUAUGAAGCUUGUAUUGGGUCUUUUUGAGCAACUGUUUGGGCUCAAAAUAAACUUCAAUUAAUGCGAAUUGUUCUGUUUUGGGAGAGCCAAAGAGGAACAAGAUGAUUAUAGAAAUUUGUUCGGUUGUGAAAUGGGAUCCUUAACUUUUAGUUAUCUAGGGAUCCUAAUUCAUCAUAGACGUUUAACAAACAAGGAAUGGAAAUGUAUAGAAGAUCGAUUUGAAAAGAAACUGAGCUGCUGGAAGGGCAAGAUUAUGUCAUACGGAGGUCGAUUGGUUUUGACAAGCCUGCCGAUGUUCCUUCUAUCCUUCUUUGAGGUACCGGUAGGGGUACAGAAAAGACUUGACUUUUAUAGAUCCCGUUUCUUUUGGCAAAGUGAUGAGGCCAAGAAGAAGUACAGGUUGGACAGAUGGGAUAUUAUUUACAGACCAAAAGACCAGGGCGGGUUAGGGAUCAAAAAUUUAGAGGUCAAAAAUAGACGUCUCCUUAGCAAGUGGUCAAGUGGCUAUACAAAAUAUCUACUGAGACCGAGGGUAUGUGGAUACAAAUCUUGCGAAAUAAAUACUUACACUCUAAGACUUUGGCCCAAGUCACUUUUAGGCCAACGGACUCACCCUUCUGGAAGGGAUUAAUGAGGACGAAAACAAUUUUCUUCCAACGAGUGAAAUUCCUAGUUGGUAAUGGCAAUACUACUAGAUUUUGGGAGGAUACAUGGCUUGGGGAGACGCCUUUGGCUUUGCAAUAUCCAUCCUUAUAUAAUAUUGUGCAACAUAAGGAGGAUUAUGUUGCUAUAGUAUUAAACUCGAUACCGCUUAAUAUCCAAUUUAGGAGAUCCCUAGUAGGGGAACGUUGGAAUGCUUGGUUGCACCUGGUUCAUAGGUUGAUGGAAGUUCAUCUAUCUGAUCAGACGGAUAUAAUUCGCUGAAAGUUAACCACGAAUGGAAUCUUCUCAGUGAGACCCAUGUAUUCGGACCUAAUUGAUUCCGGGCCAUUGUCGAGGUUGUUGCACAUUUGAAAGAUUAAAGUUUCGCUUCGUAUUAAAAUAUUUAUGUUGUUUGUCCAUAAAGAGGUUAUUCUAACCAAAGAUAACUUGGCAAAAAGGAAUUGGGUUGGUAACUGCUGUUUUUUGAUCAAAAUGAAAUGAUUAAACACCUCUUUCUCUAAUGUCCUCUUGCGCAAAAUUAUUGUGGCGAUCAAUUCAUAUAGCCUUUAACGUUCAACCUCCAAGGAGCAUACACAUGUUAUUUGGGACGUGGCUUAAUGGAGUGGACGUACAUUUAGCUAACCAUAUUCGGAUAGGAGUAUGUGCAUUAUUUUGGGCUAUAUGGAACACUAGAAAUGAUAUGAUUUUUAAUGGGGCAAAAUUCACCAAUUUUUUAUAGGUUAUCUACAGAGCUACAAUUUGGAUCCGUAUGUGGUCCUUACUCACUCAUGCGGACUUCAUGGAGCCUUUGGUUAUUGGGUGCAACCGUUGGGAGACGGUAGCACGGGCUAUCUUCAGCCGAUUUGUGUGGCGAGCUAAUAAUAGGCUAGGUGUGUAGACAUCAUAGCUUAUUAUUCUAUCGCUGGAUGUGACACUUCUUUAGUUCUAUUUCGCCGGGUGUGGCGUUUGUCAGAUUUAUUUGCUUCUUUUUCAAAAAAGAAGAAAAAACCAAGGGACGGCCAGAGAAGAGAAAUAAAAAUGUGAAGAUGCUCAGGUAACAUGUACUACGAACGUGGAUGCGGCGAGGAAACUGCCAGGCUGUAGGCAACUGGCCAUCGCAAGAGAAGACUUUGUAGACUUGGCAAGAGAAGACCAGAUGUAUGGGGGCUUUAAAUGGUAAUCUAAGCAAGACCAGAUGGGGUCUAUAUGUUUAAUCUUAUGUUUACAUGUGGAUAAUUUAUUAUUGUGCAGUGGGAGUAUACAUAUAUCUAUCAUCCUGCACCGGUACGGUGACUAUCCUCAUUGAAUCUCUGGUGUGGAGGCUCCAUUACUCAUCAUCAUGCUGCGCGCUAAGGAUCAAGGCUGAUCUCUACUUUUCUUGCUCCACCUCAAAUUUCUGGUUGCUAGCGGCAGCACGCGCGGUUGUGUGGAUCAUCGGUCGGUCUACGUCCAUAUAUUGAUGUGAGUUACGACUUUAUUUUUGAAUCAAAUUUGAGUUACUACUUAUAUGUUCUUAUAUCUUGCUUGCAAGAACUCUCGUAGUUUUCUUCUUCUUGUUGAGAAACGCAAGAACACUCAUACUUAUUUGCAGGAAAUGAAAGAACGCUCAUACUUCAUUCAGGAGAUCAGUGUCUUAACUCGCUAGAGCCUAACUCCAGGCACUAGACAGCAAAUUGUAGCAGUCUCUAGGCCCAUUUCGUGUAUGAGAGAGAGAGAGAGAGAGAGAGAGAGAGAGAGUCCAAUUCAACAGUCCUCUUCCUUGCCGCCUGGGCAGAAAAAUGGCACUGACGACGGGUGGUAGGGCGAGCUCCGGACCGGUAGGCAUUGGCAUGCUGAGAGAGAAGCAGGUUUUAGAGAGAAGCUGUACAUACGAGUAGUUUAACACAUACGGAUGGACAAGUACUUGACUACCACAUUAAGUGAUUUUCGUGAACGAUAAUACAUGUCUCAUUCGUAUAAUAUAAAUGUGAAAGUACAAGCCACAUGUAAUUCGACUUGAAAGACUAAAAAGAUAGCAGCACGCUAGCCUUUACACAAAUUGCCACAACCAAUAAAGAAAUUUACAACCAGGAUCAACACAUCCCAUGAUCAUGACUCCAACCCGUGUCACCUACCUCCGGCACCACCAUAGCAGCCACUAAAGAAAAAUAUGAUGAGUGGCGUCGACGGCAGCUAGGCCGGGCAAGGUAGAUGCAGCAGUACAGCUCUGAAGAUGGAUUGGUGCAGGUGGCUGCGGCGGCCUCAUACCCGGCAGGCGUCCUGGUUGAGGAGUGCGCCGGACCGGUGGGUGCCCCAUACCCGGCAGGUGUCCUGGAUAGGACCUCAGGUCUUAGAUGUUAGGUCUGGCUGCGAGGUCUGUUUGGUAUUAGGCCCAAACUAUCGGCAUCCCUUCAUCAAUUGGAUAGGAGUAGCGACAGAUGAUGCCUAGACAGUGGCUUUAGUCUUACUGUUGUAUUUCUUUGUAAGGUCUUGUGUGAACAAUUAAUAAAGUGGCUGCAUGCAUCAUCCAGAUGCAGAGGCCAGGGGUCUUCCUCCUUUUCAAAAAAAAACCUCUUCAGCCGAUCUCGAUGCGGCUCCACCACUGACAUCUAACUUUGCGAACAACAUCCAAAGUAUAGCUUAGCAAAGGCGAAGUGAUUGCCGUUGAAAGAAUCUGAUUCCGGACACGCCAUUAAAUUUCAGAUUAGGCACCUGGAUCAUGUGUUGGGUUCGUUGUUGAUAGCUGGAAGGUACGAUUUCUUUCUCUGGCGUCUUAGCCAUACUAAAUUAAGUGAUCCGCAAAUGCAGAUUGACUGCUGCUUGUCAUUGUAGUCUGGUGUACGUAGUACCACUCGUACAGUUCAUUAGAUGUACUUUUCUUUAUGUUGGCUUGCCACUCGUUUAUUGAUGUCGCACCAUCUAAUUUUGUCACGUCAUGUUGUAAUUAUAAUUAUCACAUUUCCAUCAAGCCUGGUUAGUAUGGUAUUUAUAGAGACCGUACCAAAAUAGUAUGUUAUUACUCAAACCGGACCAUAGAGUUAACUCGUACAACAAUAAACAAAUGGAUGUGGCUAGGACUCAUCUAGAUGUGACAUAACUAUGUCUUAUGUCACAUCUAAGCAUGACACUCACACAACAUCAGCAAAAAAACAAAUUAAAAAAAAUAUUUUAUACAAAUCUUGAAGCCCCUUAUUAUGUGAUGAACUAUUUUUUUUCGAAAAGGGGGGACUCCCCGGCCUCUGCAUCAGAACGAUGCAUACGGCCACAUUAAUAGACAAAUAAAGAGAUUCAACAAGGUCUUAUAGUCUGAAAACAAAAUAACGGCAAGCUCACAAAGAGCCACAACACCAAAAACAAAAUGCCCAAAAGGCACAACCGGCUGGCAUAACAAAGAUAGGUAAACUAAUCGCCUGUCCUAUUGCAUGAUCGCCAUCCAAAUCGGUUGAAGAUAUCCCACACUACCAUCUCCCAUCGGACAGAUCCAGUAACCAAACGCUUCCCGGCCUCCGUCGGAGUGAGUAACGACCACAUACGGAUCAGCGCAGUAGCUCGGAAUAAAACCUGCAAAAAAUAAAUAUUUGUUGUUCUGUUAAAAGCCAAAUCAUUUCUGCAGUUCCAAAUUGCCCACAACAAAGCACAUACUCCUACACGAAUGUGUCUAGCUGUUGCGGACUCUAUCCCAACAAGCCACGCUUCAAAUAACGUACUGACCGAAUUCGGAGGAGUAAUGUUAAAGGCAAUAUGCACCGUGUGCCACAACACUCUCGCCAACGGGCGGUCAAAGAAGAGGUGCUUGAUAGUUUCGUCCCGAUCACAAAAACUACACCUAGUAGAUCCUAUCCAGUUGCGCUUAACCAAAUUAUCCUUUGUUAAAAUGACUUGUUUAUGUACAAACCACAUAAACACUUUAAUUUUCAAAGGAAUUUUGACUUUCCAAACAUCUUUGGAACUAGGAAUAGCACUAGAGUUAAUGACAUCGAUAUACAUCGACUUAACUAUGAACUCUCCAGACCUAGUAAGCUUCCAACACAACUGAUCGGGCUGAUGAGAUAGAUGAACCUCCAUCAGUCUACUCACUAAAUGAAGCCAUGCUUCCCACAGGUCGCCAACAAGCACCCUCCUAAACUGAAUAUUAAGGGGAAUGGACUGCAUAAUCGUUGCAACAAGAGCAUCACGUCGUUGAACAAUACGAUACAGGGAUGGGUACUGAAGCGCCAACGGCGUUUCACCAAGCCAAGUAUCCUCCCAGAAGCGAGUGGUGUUGCCAUUACCGACUAUAAACUUUGUUCUAUUAAAGAAGGCAAUUUUGACUCUCAUAAGCCCCUUCCAAAAUAGCGAGUCAGUCGGUCUCACUGUCGCCUGGGAUAAAGUCUUAGACUGCAGAUACUUACUACGGAGAAUCUGCGCCCACGUGGCCUCAGUCUCAACUGAUAACUUAUACAACCACUUACUGAGAAGACAUCUGUUCUUGACUUCAAGAUUCUCAAUACUAAGGCCCCCUGGUCCUUUGGUCGACAGAUGAUAUCCCAUUUGGCGAGUCGGUAUUUUCUCUUUAGAUCAUCACUCUGCCAGAAGAAUCGGGAUCGAUAGAAGACCAGCCUUUUCCUAACACCAACUGGGACUUCGAAGAAAGAUAAGAGAAAACAUAGGCAUACUCGUGAGCACCGAAUUAAUAAGAAUCAAUCAGCCUCCAUAUGACACGCAACUCAGUUUCUUCUCAAACCGAUCCUCGAUGCACUUUCAUUCUCUGUUUGUCAGCUUACGAUAGUGAAUAGGUAUACCUAAGUACGUAAAAUGUAAUGCCCCCAAUUCGCAUCCAAACAAUUGCCUAUAAGCCUCUUGUUUCUCAUUGGCUCUAUCAAAACAGAACAACUCGCUUUUAUGAAAGUCAUUCUGUAAACAAAUUAUCAAAACCUUAUCUACUGAAAACCGCACAAACUAAACGCCCAAGGACACACGCAAGGGAUAAGCGGGCAACCACAAGGGAAAAAGACUCGAGGGAUGGUAGAAGGAGACAAAAAAAAAACAAUGACAACACAUAUAGUUGUGCUCUAACAAAGGCGCGUCUAGAUGUAUCCUAGAUAGCCCCUCGGUCAAAAUUAGUUUAGAAUUUUCUUUGGAACGAGUCCUUUUGAACAAUAUCCUUUUACGUAAUCUUCCUACCAUAUAUAUGGACCGCAUUAAUAAUUUGAUUUUGCACCGAUAUAUGUCGCGUAUUAGCAAGUUUCUUUCCAUCUACGUUGAUCCUUGCCAUUUAAUUUCUGUUAAUUAAUGUAAACUAUUAAUACUGGAGACACUAUUAGCCUUGACAAUGCCAAAUUGAGCUUUUAGAUAAUAGAUGAUCCUGUCCAUUGGAUUUAUAUAAAUGAACAGACCAGAAAAUUCUGGACAAUCUUAAUAUUUCUCCUUACAUUGUUUCAGCAACAAUAAUGACGAAAGUAGAGGUGCAAGUGGAGCAAUGGCAAGAACAUGGGAUCCAAGUGAUGGUGCUACUGAGCUUCGCGAUGCAGCUAGUGCUUCUCGUCCUGGCGGAGUUUCGUCGGCGCAUAGACUCUGGUGUGCUAAGGGCGGUGAUUUGGUCAGCUUACAUGUUGGCCGACUCAAUAGCGAUAUACAUCUUGGGACACUUGUCCGUGACAAGCAGGUCAGAGGACCACGAGUUGAUGGCGUUUUGGGCACCAUUUCUGCUAUUGCACCUUGGCGGGCAGGACAACAUCACUGCAUACGCUAUCGAGGACAACCGGCUCUGGCUACGGCACCUACAAACGCUCGUCGUGCAGGUCGCUGCGGCUACCUACAUCCUCUAUGAGUCCAUCGUCGUCAGCAACCACACCCUGCUCCGGAAUGCUGCCGUCCUGAUGUUCGUGUUGGGCGUUGUCAAGUAUGGGGAGAGGGUGUGGGCUAUCAAGUGUGCUGACACUAGAGCAUCGGGCAGCAGCUACAAGUUCUACGAGACAGGAGAAUUUAUUAAAACUAAACCUCCAAUAGAACGGCCGGACACAGAGGGCUUGUUGCAGAUAGCCCACCUCUUGUUGGAUGUUCCAAAGGAUCUCUUUCAGGGGCCAUUGACCAACGUAAUGGUGAUACACCAGGACGUCAUCAUCCCCACAAAUGAGCUGUACAAGGUGGUGGAGAUGCAGCUCAGCCUAAUGCACGACGUUGUGUACAGCAAGGCGGGGGUGAUUCACACAUGGUAUGGCAUUUGCAUUCGCUUCAUUUCUCCAGUUUUCGCCACCGCCACAUUCAUUCUAUUCCAUAGGUCGGCCUUGUCGAUGGGUGAUCCACACUAUAGCAGAGCAGAUGUUGCCAUCACGUAUGUCCUGUUAGGUGGGGCUGUUACAUUGGAGAUAAUAUCAGUGCUGAGGGUCGUGUUCUCGAGAUGGCUAAGUGUGAUACUAGGGAAGUCAGCCUAUGACUUCAUGGGAAAAGAAAGGCCCAUGUGGGGUUUCCUUGCUCGUGCAGUCACAUCUGUUCGGCGAUUCCUCCUUCCAGAGAGAAACUGGUCGAGAUGGUGGUGGUCAUGCUCUAUGGGGCAACAUAACCUGUUGAACUUGUGUGUUGGCAGCAGGGCCAGUCGACGAAGCAGGAUCGCGGGCUGGAUGGGGCUUGAGGACCGGUGGAAUACAAUGGUCUACUCACGCUCCAUCCCUGUCUCCACAACUAUCAAGGAACUAGUGAUGAAACAAGUGCAAGGGAGUAGUCCAGGCAAGAGCACUGGGCGGUCCCCCGCCAAGUUGACAGAUGAGAAGCCAGACAACAUCAUCAAUUCGCAAGGGCGGGCAGCCUUAAAGAAGUGGGAUUCGUACGACAGACUAGGCAAGUUCGUGUAUAUGGAGUUGGAUGAGAGUAUCCUCGUGUGGCACAUCGCCACCGAUAUCUACCUACGUUGGUACAAAGAUCAGACGCAAGCUGCUGAAGAUGAUGUGUGUCAACUGGCCAAGGCAACGGAGGCGAUUUCCAAUUACAUGGUUUUCCUCCUCGCGGCACGCCCCUACAUGUUGCCGGACUCUGUCGGCCGCACUAGGUAUGUUAAUGUGUGCUUCGGUCUCACCGCCCUCAAGUACAAGACAAUCUAUGAUUUAACCAGCUUACUAACAUCGCCGCAUGAGGAUGGGUACAUUGGGUUGCAAAACAUAAAAAAUAAUCAUGGAAUUGGAAUAGGAAGAUUCUUUAAAGACAACACAACAGUGAAGGCGGCACAGGAGCUUGCUCGUGAGCUGAUCUCUCCGAAGUCUGGCAUACCUACCGAGCGGGGGAUGCUCGCGGAAGUGUGGGUCGAGAUGAUGUGCUAUGCGGGGUAUAGAUGCAGCGGAUAUUCUCAUGCGAAGCAGUUGAGCAACGGUGGCGAACUCCUCACCGUUGUUGCCCUUGUGGUGGAGUACUAUAGAAGAGGAAUCCUGAAACCUUUGAGUAGUGCAAAAAAGGAGGAGGAGGAAGGAAGGCCAGCAGUCAACCAUGAUGUUGCUGGUAACCUGGAGGCGACGAUAGAGAUCGUCCUGCAACCUACUAGCAUUGAACCGAUGUCCCCAUCUCCCUCUCGCUCUCCUGAGGAACCCCGGAGCCUCUCUUAUGAGUCCAAGGAUGAGAUAUCCCCGGUCUGAGCUGAGCACCUUCAUGGGACAUCCCCGUCAAAUCUUUGGCUCUCUGGAGGAGAGGAAUUAGUGUCAGUUGUCGUUGUGUUUCCAUUUUCUGUUUGCUUUGCUUCAUCUAUGUUUCUUCCCAUGUAAAAUGAAUGAAUGAACUCGAAUAUUAUAUAUAUACAUUUUCGAAUUGAAGUAUAUUAUCUAUCUAUGGCUUUGGGAUUUUUGUUUCCUUUUUUCCUUGCACGGAGAACUUUCUGUGUAUUACAUAGAUCUUUCAUCCUAAGUCAAAGUUAAAAAACUUUGACCAACUUUAUAUGGAAAAGUAGCAACAUUUAUGAAACUAAAUUGGUAUGAGUAGAUCCGUUUUGAAAUGUACUUUCCUAAUAUACGAAUUUGAUGUCAUAUAUGUUACUACUAUUUUCUAUAUAGUUGGUCAAAAUUUUAAAACUUUGACUUGGGACAAAAGGUAGAUGUGUACACUUGUUCGUGGACGGAGAGAGUACUUGAUUGCAAUGUGUACAGUAAGGAACGAUUAUGCAUUUGGUAAUACUAGAAAGAGUUUGAUCCAUGCACAUUUGCUAAUCCUUUGUGUCCUCUCUAUUUAUCACAAGAGCUUUCUUCUGAAAACUGUGUUUCUUUAAGCCCUUAUGAGUUGUGACUACAUCAGACUCGGCAGUAAUAUUUAAGUGUGCAAGGGUGCAUUGCUCAUUACAGUGCAUCCUAUUAGUACAGAAACUUAUCUUUGGAUUCAGUGACGUACAAUCGAAGUUUGGAUAGCUUUCUUGUUGUGCCCGAUAAAAGUGUGAUUAACUUUGUUUUGUGGCCACUGGUAGUCUCGUACCAGCAGAAGAAUCUCGAAUUUAAGAUAUGAGCUGCACCAUCCAGGAGGAAAAGAUUCUGGCUGCAUUGCUCUUUUGCAGGAGCAAUUGCCAUAGUUUGCAACGGAAUGCUAAACAGUUCACCGGCAUCCUCACGAACAGUCAGUCCCAUGAGUCCUGCUGAUACUGAUCAAGAUUUCUUCCUUUUUCUCUUUGCGACAUCUUGUACAGAAAGUGCAAGCACCUGAGCAUUUCUUAGGUAUGCACACUACUGGAAUCAAAAAAUAUUUUAUCAGCCACUUCUUUGCCGUCUGCUAGCGGACGGCAAAGGAGCUCUUUGCCGUCCGUUCCCAAAAAACAGACAGCAAAAAACUGGCUGAUGGCAAAGAUCAUAUUUGCCAUCAGCCACUUCGUUGUCGUCUGCUAGCGGACGGCAAAGGAGGUUUGCCGUCAGCUAGCGGACGGCAAAGAUGGAGGUGGACCCUAAAACGAGCUGCUUACAAAAAAACUAACGGCCCCCUUCAUUGCCGGAGCAGACGGCAAAGAGGAAAAAGGCAGACAGCAAAGGCGGAGUGGGCGGCAAAGAUUUGACUUAAAUAACGGCCGCGCCCCACCCCACCCCACCCUGCCCCUCUCUCUGUUUCUCUCUCUCUCCUCCCCGACCACCCGCCGACGCCGCCCCGUCGUCCCCACCACCCGCCACCGCCGCCCCGUCGCCCCACCACCCUGCCGCCCCACCGGCUCACCGCCCCGACGCCACCGCCACCCCCGGUGCCCCAGCCACCCUNNNNNNNNNNNNNNNNNNNNNNNNNNNNNNNNNNNNNNNNNNNNNNNNNNNNNNNNNNNNNNNNNNNNNNNNNNNNNNNNNNNNNNNNNNNNNNNNNNNNNNNNNNNNNNNNNNNNNNNNNNNNNNNNNNNNNNNNNNNNNNNNNNNNNNNNNNNNNNNNNNNNNNNNNNNNNNNNNNNNNNNNNNNNNNNNNNNNNNNNNNNNNNNNNNNNNNNNNNNNNNNNNNNNNNNNNNNNNNNNNNNNNNNNNNNNNNNNNNNNNNNNNNNNNNNNNNNNNNNNNNNNNNNNNNNNNNNNNNNNNNNNNNNNNNNNNNNNNNNNNNNNNNNNNNNNNNNNNNNNNNNNNNNNNNNNNNNNNNNNNNNNNNNNNNNNNNNNNNNNNNNNNNNNNNNNNNNNNNNNNNNNNNNNNNNNNNNNNNNNNNNNNNNNNNNNNNNNNNNNNNNNNNNNNNNNNNNNNNNNNNNNNNNNNNNNNNNNNNNNNNNNNNNNNNNNNNNNNNNNNNNNNNNNNNNNNNNNCCACCUCUUCCACCGGCCGCCCCACUUCCGAAGGUGAGGUCUAGCUCCUCUUUUUUUCCUUUUCUUUUUCUGUUUUUUUAGUUUUAGGUGCAUGUUUAGUUUAGUUUUAGUUUUAGGUUUAGGUUUAAUUUAAUUUUAGGUUUAGCUUUAUGUUUAGUUUAGAUUUAGUUAUAGUUAUAGUUUUAUUUUUAGUUUUGGGUUUAUGUUUAGUUCUGCAAAAAAAGUAGAAAAUAAGAAUAAUUAGAAGAAGAGUGGUUCUCAAAGGAAUGGCUUGCCCAGCACAACAAUGCCAAGGACAAGCGUGCCCAAAUGGUAGGUGUGCCACACCAUAAGGUAGCUGUCGGUGUCAAAACCGGCGGAUCUCGGGUAGGGGGUCCCGAACUGUGCGUCUAGGCGGAUGGUAACAGGAGACGAGGGACACGAUGUUUUACCCAGGUUCGGGCCCUCUUGAUGGAGGUAAAACCCUACGUCCUGCUUGAUUAAUAUUGAUGAUAUGGGUAGUACAAGAGUGGAUCUACCACAAGAUCAAGGAGGCUAAACCCUAGAAGCUAGCCUAUGGUAUGAUUGUUGUAAUGGAGGUUAUGUCCUACGGACUAAAGCCCUCCGGUUUAUAUAGACACCGGAGAGGGCUAGGGUUACACAGAGUCGGUUACAAUGGUAGGAGAUCUACAUAUCCGUAUCGCCAAGCUUGCCUUCCACGCCAAGGAAAGUCCCAUCCGGACACGGGACGGAGUCUUCAAUCUUGUAUCUUCGUAGUCUUGGAGUCCGGCGGACGAUGAUAGUCCGGCUGUUCGGACACCCCCUAGUCCAGGACUCCCUCAGUAGCCCCUGAACCUGGCUUCAAUGACGAUGAGUCCGGCGCGCAUAAUGUUCGGCAUUGCAAGGCGGGUUCCUCCUCCGAAUAAUCCAAAGAAGAUAGUGAACACCAGGAUAGUGUCCGGCUCUGCAAAAUAAAUUCCACAUUCCACCGUAGAGAGAAUAAAAUGUACACAAGUUCAAUCUGCUGACGUAUUUUGCGGCAUGACGUCACGCCACUACCAAGCCUUUACUUGAAUCGUUUUUUAUUAUACCGCCUCAGCGCGUUUAGCGAAGCGGUUUCCUUGGCACGUCUUGUCGAAGCAGAGAUCGUGUUCCCCUUAUUCCGGGAUUCUCAUCAAUACGGACGUGGGUAACUCAACCGUGCCAUUGAUGGUGGCGCUUGGGAGGUAAGCGAGUUUUACCAGGCUGGUGGGGGACGAAUAGUCUUCGCCCGCCUAUAUAUAAGGGAUAAGGAUUCACCUUUUCACCUACGCCUUCUUCCUCCUUUGCUUAUCCAUCUCCGCGCACUCGAGCUCCAACGCCCAAGUUCGCGCAUCUCGCCUCGACCUUCUCCGACCAUGUCCGGAGCGGGAAGCAAAUGGUUGGCCUCCACCGUUAAGGAGGAGCACAUCACAAGGCUGCGCAGCGCCGGAUACCUUUCCGGCGACGUCGCGCACCGGCUGCCCGUCGAGGGGCAACUCAUCCCCACCCCCAGGCCCCAUGAGAGGGUCGUUUUCCUCCCCCACUUCCUCCGCGGACUGGGCUUUCCACUUCACCCCUUUGUCCGGGGGCUCAUGUUCUACUACGGCAUGGAUUUCCAUGAUCUGGCACCAAACUUCAUCCUCAACAUCUCGGCGUUUAUCGUCGUGUGCGAGGCCUUCCUCUGCAUCCAGCCCCACUUCGGCUUGUGGCUCAAGACCUUCAAUGUCAAGCCGAAUGUAGUGAAGGGCACUCAAGCGGAGUGCGCAGGCGCCAUGUUGGGCAAGAUGCCCAACGUCCUUUGGUUCGAAGGGGCCUUCGUGGAAUCCGUCAAGGGUGGCAGUCGGGGUGGUUCUACAUCACCGAGCCGCGCGACCCUACAUGGGCGGCGGCCCCCGAGUUCAGAUCUGGAAUCCCUACGCAGCUCACCUCCUGGAAAGAGAAGGGCUUGCUGUGGGGUAAUUCGAAGGAGCUGACGGGACUCCAAGCCUGUAUCCAGAAGCUGGUGAAUGAGAAGCUCAGGCUGGUCAACAUGGUCCAAGUCAUGCUCGACCGCCGGAUUCUCCCAUGCCAAGAACGGGCAUUCACUCUGUGGGAGUUCGAUCCGGAACAGCACCAGGCGUUGAGCAGGCUCUUCGAUACGACGUACGAAGGCGCCUGGAGGGUGUUGUUUAAGGGCGCCGAAGCCCCCGCAUCCGCGACGGAAGAUCGCGGAUUUCACUCGCAGCGUCCAGCCGACGAGGUAAGUGAUUCUACCCCUUUACGGAACACUUAUUGUUAAUAGAUUGAUUCUAAGCGGGUUUCAAUCUCUUUUUCCUUUGACAGGAAUGGAUGAAGAAGGCCGAGCAGCUCAUCUGCCCGGCUCCCAUGCCAGAAUUCCCAGUGGACGCCCGUCUAGCGGGGCUACUGGUUCCGGCACCGCACGUGGUGCCGGAGAAGAAGGCCAAGAAGGUGGCCACGGGCACUCGAAAGAGUUCCCGUUUUCAGGUCUCCGACGACUCCGAGGCGGACUCCUCCCCCGAAGACGAGGAGGAGGAAGAAGACUCUGUCCCAGAGGAGGGAGAAAGGAAGAGGAAGGCUUCCCCGACAGGGGAGGCCGAAGGGUCCAAGAGGGGAAGAACUAUUCCCCCGAACAGCUCCGCCAACACCAACGUUGGCGGUGAAGAGUGGCCCUCAAGGGCCAGGCCUCAGGCGAGAUCGUAAGUAUCCGGAUCCCUGAAUGAUUUGUAAUUUCUCUUUUUGUGUCACAUAGUGUCCUUCUAAUGCCGCAUGCUGCCUGCAGUCCGGCCGAUGAUGAUCUCCCCGCUUCAUCGAGCGGGUCGUUGGCUCCGUCAGAUGUGGAUUCCAUCCCGACUGCCUCCAACCCUCACGCCGAUGAGGACGUCGAGGUGGGAUCCCAGAAAGGGACCCAUCAGGAGGAGGCUCCGGAGGCGCCGCAAGGCAGCCUCCCGGACAUUGCGCCGGACUCUACGUCGGAACCUGCAGUGGUUCCGGAGUCCGGCAAGCGGCCCCUUCGCAAGAAGGACAAGACCGUGACGCCGGCGGCCUCCGUCCAACCGGAAGCUCCGGACAACUUGCUGGAGGCGCUCCAAGGUGCCUCCAUUGAGGAAGAACAUCGCACUGUUAUGAGUGCGGUGAUUCAGAAGGUUCAGCUCGCCAAGAGCGGGCUGACCGAAGCCUGCAGUAGCCUUCUAACAGGCUUUGAGGUAAGAAGUUAAAAUUAUGUAAUGUAAUACCGCAUAGACAGUAGCCCCUGAUGCUCGGUUCGGUGUUCGGAAAGAAAAGCCGGACUGAGGAUCUGAAAAGAUAUACGCAGGGUUGCUAAUAAAUUAUGUCAAUAUGGGUUUGCAGGCUACGCUGCUAACCUCUGCCGCACUGACUACGGAGGUUGGUUCAUUGAAGCAAGAUCUCGAGCGGUCCGAGCGAGAGCUCGGCCAUGCCAAGAGGCAGCUCGAGGACAAAGAAGGUGAGUAGCACCACUUUGAAUUUUUACCUUACAGAAAAGGAUUUCGGUUGCAAUAAAAUUAACAAGGAUAACGUGGGUACUGCAGGGGCCAAGAACGAGGUGGCAACCCUGAAGGAGGCUGUGUCCGCGGCCGAACGCAAUGCGGCCGUGGAACGGGCAGAGCGAGAGAAGCUAGAGGCGUGGGUGGCGGAGGUGCGGCAAGAGCUCCAGGCUCUCAUGGAGAAGCAUGAGAGUUUGGAGCACGACUCAAAGACUCGAAAGUCCGAGCUCGCCUCGGCUCUCGAAAGUGCCAAGUCCGCCAAGGCCGAAGCCCAUAAGGCCCUUCAAGAGGUUGAGGAUAUGAAGAAAAUAGCGGCGGGUAAGGCAUUUUUCAUGCAAAGCAAGCAUGUUAAUGUAAAUUACCUGACACUUACCCGAAUUCGGAGCUCUCCAGGGGCGUUUGCAGAUCUGCCUCGUAGCGUAUCCAAUGCCGCCGCAUUCUAUCGUGGCGAGGAGGGGAGCUCAACGGAGAAGGUCUUCUGGUCUCAGUACGCUGAGGCCGGCCAUCCGGUGCCCCCUAGCGACCAGCUAAAGCAGCUGGUCGAGCUCCACAAGGUAGCUGAGGAGGCCAUGAAGGGCCUCAUAGUCUGGCUGUGGCCUGGACAGGCCAUGCCUGGGAGCUACUUUGGCCUCGUGCGGCGGCUGGUGGAUGCAUGCCCCUGGGUGGAGGUUAUCAAGUGCUCCGCCUGUAUUGAAGGUGCUCGUCAGGCCCUUGCCCGCGCAAAGGUGCACUGGGGCAGGCUGGAUGCGGAGAGGCUUCUUACUGACCCGCCGCCAGCGGGCAAGGAGUAUCAUACGCCCGAAAUGUACUAUAAGACUGUCCUGAAGGGUGCCCGCAAUAUUGCGGAUGAGUGCCCCAGAGAUGUAAUUAUUGAGUAAACUCGCUAUGUAUUAUCCUGUGCGCUGAAAACUUUGUUUAUAUGCGCUAAGCAACGCUUAUUGAUUUAAAAUAUUACCUUCUGUGCGGCCGUUUAUAAAAUCUGAGAGAUGGCAAGUCAUUGGCUUCAACCCCCAAGCCACGAGUGCUGGGGUGUUCGGGAUAAACUUGAGCACUCUUGUUCCCAUUUUUGGGUCCAUCUAGGGAGGCGCUCAACACAACGAACAAGGCAACCGGACUUAUAAUGCUUGAACACUCUCACUUAGCCAUAGAAUUCUAUAAUUUUAAAUUUCGGCGAAGCCCCUAGUAUUCGGAAGACCGAAUUCGGGGCGCUAUCCACGCCUUCGUCGGACAUUAUCCGGUACUUCGCUCGAAGCGGCAUGACCCGAAAAGACCUCUCGAACAGCGACCAGUCUCUCGCCUUAUCAUGCCAGUCAGUUUUAGCUUUCUCCACUGAGGCGCUCGCCCAGCUCAACCGGGGCGCAAUCGCAGUGGUUCUCCCAGUGCCACCUUAGCCGACAGAACGGAACGUAAGGCACCAAAACGUGGGAUCCAGGAAAACCCAACUAUUGAACCAAGACAUGAUUCGGAGCCGAUUCAUAUAAUGCUAUAAGUUCGGGGUGCCGCACUUGUGAAAGUGGUCGGACUUAUCACACCAUAAUGCGGGGAACAUAAGCCCCUGGUGUAUUCGGCCGUACCAAAAUAUACGGGUGCGAGAUGUCAUUAAUGAACAUAUGUGUAAAGUAAUGCAAUAACAGGCAAAAAAUGCUGCAUUAUUUAUUCAAGGAAUUCUGCUAUGAGUGCAGAAGGAUACAAAUAGUGCGGUAAGCAAGGGAUUGGACUAAAUAAACAUGUCCCCCUCCAGGGGUGGGCUGCAGACUGGUGUAUAUAAUUGAAUUUAAUGCUAGUAAUGGAGACCACCUGAAUGUUAAUCGCAGCCUUCUUUCUUCCCUGGCUGUUGCAUCGUGAGUUCGGCGGGUCCACCGCCGGACAGGGCUUCUGGUAAAUGGAGUCCUGUAUAUAAAAAGAAAGAAAAUAAUAACAAAAAAGAGUGACACACUUGUGAGCCCCUGGUGUGGUCGAGCCGCACUCUGGGUCUUCUGUGGUCGUGCCCCUUCCCCUAGGCCCAUGGUAUCUCCAGAGCGUAAUGAUGUACAUGGAGGGUAGGUCUUGCGAUUAUGCAGGGGCUGGGGUUGGGGCCGCAUUGCUACGCGUGCUCGGAUCGUGCCAGGUGGUCUUGGUUGAUGUUGCUUUGGGCGCGUUUGGCCGUAUCCAGCCGUUUACCGGCCAGACUCGAAAAUUGCCUUAAAAGGCUGCUCUGUACUUCUGCCGCGAGAGCCGCUGUGUGUUCCUCCGUUCGGAGGGAGCGUUCCGUAUUUCCGUUGACCGUGAUGACUCCACGAGGGCCUGUCAUCUUGAGCUUGAGGUAUGCGUAAUGCGGCACCGUGUUGAACUUUGCAAACGUGGUUCGUCCGAGCAGGGCGUGAUAGCCGCUGCGGAAUGGGACUAUGUCGAAGAUUAACUCCUCGCUCCGGAAAUUGUCCGGGGAUCCGAAGACCACUUCUAGUGUGACUGAGCCUGUACAAUUGGCCUCAACACCUGGUAUGACGCCUUUGAAGGUCGUCUUUGUAGGUUUAAUCCUUGAGGGGUCUAUGCCCAUCUUGCGCACUGUAUCCUGAUAAAGCAGGUUCAGGCUACUGCCACCGUCCAUCAGGACUCUCGUGAGGUGAAAUCCAUCGAUGAUUGGGUCUAAAACCAAUGCGGCGAAUCCGCCAUGGCGGAUACUGGUCGGAUGGUCUCUUCGAUCGAAAGUGAUCGGGCAAGAGGACCAUGGAUUGAACUUCGGGGCCACUGGCUCCAUCGCAUAUACGUCCCUUAGUGCACGCUUCCGCUCCCUCUUGGGUGUAUGGGUUGUGUAUAUCAUGUUCACCAUUCGCACUUGUGGGGGAAACCCUUCUGUCCUCUAUUGUUUCGCGGUCGGGUCUCUUCCUCGUCGUUGCUGUGCAGCCCCUUGUCAUUGCUUUCGGCAAUUAACUUGCCUGCCUUCUUGAAUACUCAACAAUCUCUGUUGGUGUGAUUAGCUGGCUUUUCGGGGGUGCCAUGUAUCUGGCAUAAGCGGUCGAGUAUUCGGUCCAAAUUGGACGGACCCGGAGUGGUUCUUUUGAAUGGCUUCUUCCGCUGACCGGGUUUAGAGCCUCGGAAUCCGGCGUUGACUGCCGUAUCGUCCUUAUCGUUGCCGUUAAUGCGGCGUUUAUUUUUGCUUCGACGUGACCUGCCAUUGUGGUCCUUGGUAUCCGGACUGCCAGAAUUUUUACUGAGGUUGUUGCUGCGAGCUAGCCAGCUGUCCUCUCCAGCACAGAAGUGGGUCAUUAGAGAUGUGAGGGCUGCCAUGGAUUUCGGCUUUUCCUGUCCUAGGUGCCGGGCUAGCCACUCGUCGCGGAUGUUAUGUUUGAAGGCUGCGAGGGCCUCUGCAUCCGGACAGUCGACGAUUUGAUUUUUCUUUGUUAAGAACCGUGUCCAGAACUGUCUGGCCGAUUCGUCUGGCUGCUGAAUUAUGUGUCUUAGGUCAUCGGCGUCUGGUGGUUGCACAUAUGUGCCCUGGAAGUUGUCGAGGAAUGCGGCUUCCAGGUCUUCCCAACACCCAAUUGACUCUGCGAGCAAGCUGUUAAGCCAAUGCCGAGCUGGUCCUUUAAGCUUGAGUGGGAGAUACUUGAUGGCAUGGAGAUCGUCGCGCGGGACAUAUGGAUGUGAAGGAGAUAAUCUUCGAUCCAAACCGCGGGGUCUGUUGUGCCAUCGUAGGAUUCAACGUUUACGGGUUUAAACCCUUCAGGGAUUUGAUGAUCCAUUACUUCGUCAGUGAAGCAUAGCGGGUGUGCGGCGCCUCUAUAUUGAGCAAUAUCACGACGUAGCUCGAGUGAGCAUUGUCUGCUGUGUUCGGCCCGGCCGGAGUUAUUGUAUCCGGCGCGACGGUAUUCGUCCUGGGUCAUGGGGCGCCCACGUGAUCCAUAGAUGGAUCUGGAUUGCCUUGCUUUGUCCUCCAAUAUAUCUCGCAAGUCCGGCGCGUUCCCUCUUGGCUUCGUACUUUUGGAGCGAUGCCGGGGUACGGUCUUGGUGGAGGGCCUAGAUGCCUCUCUGUCGCGACCACGGGGUGGUCGGUCAGCCGUAUUGUGCACUGGUGAUGAAGGUAUGUAUGCUUCCUCCUCUAAUCGGGGGAGCAACUUGCGUUUUGGGUAGCUUUUGGAGGGGCGUUCGAGUUCGUACUCUUCGGCCGCGAGGACCUCGGUCCAUCAAUCAGCCAGCAGGUCUUGAUCAGCUUGAAGCUGCUGCUUCUUUUUCUUUAGGCUAUUUGUCGUGGCGAUAAGCCUGCGUUUAAAACGUUCCUGUUCGACGGGAUCCUCAGGCACGACGAAUUCGUCGUCGUUGAGGCUUGCCUCGUCUUCGGAGGGAGGUAUGUAAUUAUCAUCCUCGACAUCUUCAUCUGCCGCUCUCUCGUGAGGGCUUGCUUCUACAUCCUCCUGCGCUGAAUCUUGCUGGAGGGGAUUGUCUUCGGCACUUUCUGGGGUAUUAUUAUCUCCUGUGCCUGAAUCUCAAUUCUUGCUGUGGCGGGAUUUAGAGCGGUGCCGCUGACGUCGGCGCUUGGACUGUUUCUUUAAGGAAUCUGCCUCCGCUGCUUCUUCGCCGUCCCCCUCUUUUGGGGUGUCCACCAUGUAUAUGUCAUAUGACGAGGUGGUCUUCCAGUGCCCUGUAGGCGCUGGUUCUUUUUCGUCUCCGGCAUCAUCGUCCAUACCGUUGAUGUCUUCGGAGUCGUAGUCUAGCAUGUCUGUUAGAUCGUCGACAGUGGCUACAAAGUGGGUGGUGGGUGGGCCUUGAAUUUCUUCGUCGUCCGUAUCCCAACCGUCCUGGCCAUAGUCCGGCCAGGUCUCUCCGGAUAGCGAGAGAUGUUUUAGCGAAUUCAGGAUGUCGCCAAAGGGCGAGUGUUGGAAGAUGUCCGUGGCGGUGAACUCCAUGACCGGCGCCCAAUCAGAUUCGAUUGGCAGGGGCGCAGAGGUUCGGAGUCCGGCAGGGAGUCCGGCACCUCGGAGUCACGAGCUUUGCAAGGGACAAGGUUAGUGUUCGGCUCCAUCGCCGUGGAAGUUGCAGCCCCCGAGGUGGUGUCCAGCCACCGGUCCUCGAUCUGGGUGAUCGGCUCCGGACUAAGGGCCGGAGCGGAUUCGUGUGCGGCCACCAAGGCACUGUUCGGCAGCAGAGCUAGAUCAUGCCCAUCGUGACAGUGCGGCACGCUCGGCUGUGGCUCGAGCCCGUCGAAGAUCAAGUCCCCGCGGAUGUCGGCCGUGAAGUUUAGGCUUCCGAACCUGACCUGACGGCCAGGGGCGUAGCUUUCGAUCUGCUCCAGAUGGCCAAGUGAAUUAGCCCGCAGUGCGAAGCUGACGAAUACGAAGAUCUGUCCGGGGAGAAAAGUCUCACCCUGGACAGCGUUAUUGAUUGAAGGAUUCAUUGAGCCUAUCGGUGACGACACAGAGGAACUCUCAAUGAAAGCACCAAUGUCGGUGUCAAAACCGGUUGAUCUCGGGUAGGGGGUCCCGAACUGUGCGUCUAGGCGGAUGGUAACAGGAGACGAGGGACACGAUGUUUUACCCAGGUUCGGGCCCUCUUGAUGGAGGUAAAACCCUACGUCCUGCUUGAUUAAUAUUGAUGAUAUGGGUAGUACAAGAGUGGAUCUACCACGAGAUCAAGGAGGCUAAACCCUAGAAGUUAGCCUAUGGUAUGAUUGUUGUAAUGGAGGUUAUGUCCUACGGACUAAAGCCCUCCAGUUUAUAUAGACACCGGAGAGGGCUAGGGUUACACAGAGUCGGUUACAAUGGUAGGAGAUCUACAUAUCCGUAUCGCCAAGCUUGCCUUCCACGCCAAGGAAAGUCCCAUCCGGACACGGGACGGAGUCUUCAAUCUUGUAUCUUCGUGGUCUUGGAGUCCGGCGGACGAUGAUAGUCCGGCUGUCCGGACACCCCCUAGUCCAGGACUCCCUCAGCAGCGCCAACUUAUUUCAGUUUGGGCGGAACUGGGUAUGUGAUUUCUAUCAUAAUUCAUGCAAUUCAUUCUUCAUGCUAUCUUGAGACCUUUAAUUACUAAUUUACUCUGUUCCUUUCUUUCAGCAAAAGACAAUAAGGCGUAGGUGCCAGAGGUGUUCGACCUCUAUGCCAUGGCCCAUACUGGGCCAUACAAGAAGGUAAACGCAUUCGAGCCAUCUAACCUCGAUAAUACAAAGAACUUCACAAACAUCUCCUCCCACAACAAACUCGUGAAGUACAGAGAUGAGGGGAAGGCGAGGAAAGGGGAGGACUUUAACUCGAGAGGGCAGUUUGAUCCGGAGCUAGUGAUGAUAUCUGGUGGCGGGAGGUCCCAUGGCUCGAUAGCCAUUGGAUAUGGACUUAUCCGUUGUCCUCGCACUCUCUCGGAGAUCAAGGUGCGCCAGUCGAGCUCCGCUCCUGAGAUGAGGCCUAGUCAACGGCCAGUAGAGCUCACCAUCCAGCUUAGUUAUGCGGACUCAUCUAUCUUUCCUCUAUUACAUUGUGUGUGCGGCCAUCGAUGAUUAGCAUGCUAACGAGGAGUGAUGUUGCAGGCUGCUCUUCAGAGUGAGAGAGAGAUAGAACCCAGGCGCUUUUGGUGGAGAGGGACCGGAAGGCGGAGCAGAAAUAGCGGGAGUUGGAGGAGAAGACGACAAGGCUGAUGGAGGAGGACAGGGCAUGGAACGACAUGCAGAACCAGGCCAUGUACCAGCUCCUCGUGGUAGUUUCUUCUGCAUAUUAGCCAAAUCAUUCACGUAAUGUUCGUUUCAUUAAUAACUAGUAUGAAUGAACCGUCAAAACCAAAUGUGCAGUUUGUGUGCCAGAAGGCCGGUCAGACCCCUCCGCCGAUGCCAAAUAUUGCUCUGGGGACCAUAGUGCGUUUAAUUUGAAUGGUCAUAAGUUAGUAGUAUUAACAUUUGAGUGUCAUCAUGCUAAUGAGACAUUGCAAAUGAUCUUUGGUGCAGCGUGCCUCCAGAAAAGCAUCACACGAUCCUUCUCCAGGUGGUGGUACCGGCACGAGCCAUGCUGGUGCUUCAACUCCGUGAUGACGGUAAGUUAUCACAUCACAACAAGCCCUGCAAAAACAAGUUAGACGUCCUCUACUUUGUUGUUGCAAGUUUUACAUGGCUGUUAUGGGCUUCUAGCAAGAACCGUUCUUAUCUAAGCAACAAAAUUACAAUGAUUUUUUGUCAAGUGUGUUGUUUUAACCUUCAACAAGGACCGGCCGUAGUCAAACUCGAUUCAACUAAAUUUGGAGAAAUAGACACCUGCCAGCCACCUGUGUGCAAAACACAUCGGUAGAACCAGUCUCAUGAACGCGGUCAUGUAAUGUCGGUCCGGGCCGCUUCAUCCAACAAUACCACCGAAUCAAAGUAAGACGUUGGUGGUAAGCAGUAUGACUAUUAUCGCCCACAACUCUUUAUGUUCUACUCGUGCAGAUCAUCUACGCAUAGACCUGGCUCUGAUACCACUGGUCGGGAAUGUAGUAUGCAAUUUGCAAAAAAUUCGUACGCUCACGCAAGAUCUAUCUAGGAGAUGCAUAGCAACGAUAGGGCAGAGUGUGUCCACGUACCCUCAUAGACUGAAAGAGGAAGUGUUAGUUAACGCGCUUGAUGUAGUUGAAUGUCUUCAUGAUCCAAUCGGUCCAAGUACAGAACGUGUGGCACCUCCGUGUUCAGCACACGUUCAGCUCGAUGACAUCCCUCGAACUCUUGAUCUAGUAGAGGGUCGAGGGAGAGUUCUGUCAGCAUGGCGUGUUGAUGGUUGAUGAUGUGAUCUGCGCAGGGCUUUGCCUAAGCACUACGACGCUAUGACCGGAGGAGUAAACUGUGGAGGGGCACCGAGAAUGGCAAAGAGAACAAUUGAUGUGCCUUUGCGGUGCCCCUGCCAACGUAUAUAAAGGAGGGGGAGAAAGGCUAGCGGCUAGGAGGGGCGCGCCAUGUUGGGGGGGGUCCUACUUGGACUCCUAGUCCAAGUAGGAUUCGUCCACCCUCCUUUACCUUUUUCCAUCGGAGGGAAUAGGAAGGAGAGGGAGAGGGAAAGGGAAGGGCGCACUGCCCCUCCUCCUUGUCCUAUUCNNNNNNNNNNNNNNNNNNNNNNNNNNNNNNNNNNNNNNNNNNNNNNNNNNNNNNNNNNNNNNNNNNNNNNNNNNNNNNNNNNNNNNNNNNNNNNNNNNNNNNNNNNNNNNNNNNNNNNNNNNNNNNNNNNNNNNNNNNNNNNNNNNNNNNNNNNNNNNNNNNNNNNNNNNNNNNNNNNNNNNNNNNNNNNNNNNNNNNNNNNNNNNNNNNNNNNNNNNNNNNNNNNNNNNNNNNNNNNNNNNNNNNNNNNNNNNNNNNNNNNNNNNNNNNNNNNNNNNNNNNNNNNNNNNNNNNNNNNNNNNNNNNNNNNNUCUCUCCCAUAGGCCUAUGUUGGCCCAACACUUCCCUGGGGGGUUCCGGUAACCCCUUGGUACUCCGAAAAAUGUGUGAACCUCUCCGAAACUUUUCGGGUGUCCGAACAUAACUUUCCAAUAUAUCAAUCUUUACCUCUCUACCAUUUCGAGACUCCUCCGUAAUCUCAUCCGGGACUCCGAACAAACUUCGGUCAUCAAAAAUACAUAACUCAUAAUACAAAUCGUCAUCGAAUGUUAAGCGUGCGGACCCUACGGGUUCGAGAACUAUGUAGACAUGAUCGAGACACAUCUUUGAUCAAUAACCAAUAGCGGAACCUGGAUGCUCAUAUUGGCUCCUACAUAUUUUACAAAGAUCUUUAUCGGUCAAACCGCACAACAACAUACGAUGUUCCCUUUGUCAUCAGUAUGCCACUUGCCUGAGAUUUGAUCGUCGGUAUCUUCAUACCUAGUCCAACCUCGUUACCGACAAGUCUCUUUACUCAUUCUGUAAUGCUUCAUCCCGCAACUAACUCAUUAGUCAGAUUGCUUGCAAGGCUUAUAGUGAUGAGCAUUAUCGAGAGGGCCAGAGAUACCUCUUCGAUACACGGAGUGACAAAUCCUAUUCUCGACCUAUGCCAACCCAACAAACACCUUCGAAGACACCUGUAGAGCAUCUUUAUAAUCACCCAGUUACGUUGUGACGUUUGAUAGCACACAAGGUGUUCCUCUUGUAUUCUGGAGUUGCAUAAUCUCAUAGUCAGAGGAACACGUAUAAGUUAUGAAGAAAGCAAUAGCAAUAAAACUUACGAUCAUUAUGCUAAGGUAACGGGUGGGUCUUGUCCAUCACAUCAUUCUCUGACGACGUGAUCCCGUUCAUUGAAUGACAACACAUGUCUAUGGUCAGGAAACAUAACCAUCUUUGAUUAACGAGCUAGUCAAUUAGAGGCAUACUAGGGACACUUUGCUUUCUCGAUGUAUUCACACAUGUACUAAGUUUCCGGUUAAUACAAUUCUAGCAUAAAUAAUAAACAUUUAUCAUGAUAUAAGGAAAUAUAAAUAACAACUUUAUUAUUGCCUCUAGGGCAUAUUUCCUUCAGUCGACCUGUCGGCCUGCUCCUACCAUGCGGUUGCCCGUGUCCUACUGGGUGUUUGCAGUGUUGAUGAGCUCCUAGGGGUGCUCCAUCUGGUCGUGCAGCUCGUCGCCCUCCAGGUGUUUGAGCUCGUCUGCGGCCGCCUGGGCGGCGUGCAAGUUUUGCGUCGGGGUCUCGUAGACCGGGCGUCCGAUUUCCAGCAUGCUGGCAAUCACAGCACUGCGUUGUCGGAUGGCGUCGACCUGGCUAGGCUCAGCCAUAGCCGGCAUCUCAUCGACCACGCGGUCGAUCUCACGCUGAGUGUGUUGGGGAACGUUGCAUAAAAUAAAAAAAUUCCUACGUUCACCAAGAUCAAUCUAUGAGUUCAUCAAGCAACGAGAUAGAGGAGUGCAUCUACAUACCCUUGUAGAUCGCGAGCGGAAGCGUUUAAGAGAACGGGGUUGUAGUAGUUGUACACGUCGUGAUCCAAUCACCAGAGAUCCUAGCGCCGAACGGACGGCACCUCCGCGUUCAACACUCGUACGGUCAGCGUGACGUCUCCUCCUUCUUGAUCCAGCAAGGGGGAAGGAGAGGUUGAUGAAGAUCCAGUAGCACGACGGCGUGAUGGUGGAUGCAGCAGGGAUCUGGUAGGGCUUCGCCAAGCGUCUGCGGGAGGGAGAGGUGUAGCAAGGGGGAAGGGAGGCGCCAAGAUGCAGGGUCCGACUGCCCUCCCUUCCGUCCUCUUUAUAUAGGGUCCCCAGGGGGGGCACCGGCCCUAGGAGAUGGGAUCUCCUAGGGGGGCGGCGGACAAGGGGGGAGCCUUGCCCCCCAAGGCAAGUGGAGGCGCCCCCUCCCCUAGGGUUCCCAACCCUCGGCGCAGGGGGGCCCAAGGGGGGGGGGGCGCACCAGCCCACUAGGGGCUGGUCCCCUCCCCACUUCAGCCCACGGGGCCCUCCGGGAUAGGUGACCCCACACGGAGGACCCCCGGGACCCUUCCGGUGUUCCCGGUACAAUACCGGUGACCCCCGAAAUUCUCCCGAUGGCCGAAACAGCACUUCCUAUAUAUAAUUCUUCACCUCUGGACCAUUCCGGAACUCCUCGUGACGUCCGGGAUCUCAUCCGGGACUCCAAACAACUUUCCGUUUGCUGCAUACUAAUAUCUCUACAACCCUAGCGUCACCGAACCUUAAGUGUGUAGACCCUACGGGUUCGAGAGAUAUGCAGACAUGACCGAGACGCCUCUCCGGUCAAUAACCAACAGCGGGAUCUGGAUACCCAUGUUGUCUCCCACAUACUCCUCGAUGAUCUCAUCGGAUGAACCACGAUGUCGAGGAUUCAAUGAACCCCGUAUUCAAUUCCCUUUGUCAAUCGGUACGUUACUUGCCUGAGACUCGAUCGUCGGUAUCCCAAUACCUCGUUUAGUCUCGUUACCGGCAAGUCACUUUACUCGUACCAUAAUGCAUGAUCCCGUGACCAGACACUUGGUCACAUUCAGCUCAUUAUGAUGAUGCAUUACCGAGUAGGCCCAGAGAUACCUUUCCAUCAUACGGAGUGAUAAAUCCCAGUCUCGAUUCAUGCCAACCCAACAGACACUUUCGGAGAUACCCGUAGUGUACCUUUAUAGUCACCCAGUUACGUUGUGACGUUUGGCACACCCAAAGCACUCCUACGGUAUGCGAGAGUUGCACAAUCUCAUGGUCUAAGGAAAUGAUACUCGACAAUUGGAAAAGCUCUAGCUAAACGAACUACACGAUCUUUGAGCUAUGCUUACGAUUGGGUCUUGUCCAUCACAUCAUUCUCCUAAUGAUGUGAUCCCAUUAUCAAUGACAUCCAAUUCCCAUAGUCAGGAAACCAUGACUAUCUGUUAAUCAACGAGCUAGUCAACUAGAGGCUUACUAGGAACUUGUUGUGGUCUAUGUAUUCACACAUGUAUUACGAUUUCCGGAUAACACAGUUAUAGCAUGAAUAAUAGACAAUUAUCAUGAGCAUAGAAAUAUAAUAAUAACCAUUUAUUAUUGCCUCUAGAGUGAAUAAUCUAGUUACAUUGUGAUGUAUCGAACACCCAUUGCGUUCUGGUGUUGAUCAUGUUUUGCUCUAGGGAGAGGUUUAGUCAAUGGAUCUGCUACAUUCAGGUCCGUAUAUACUUUACAAAUAUCUAUGUCUCCAUCUUGAACAUUUUCACGGAUGGAGUUGAAGCGACGCUUGAUGUGCCUGGUCUACUUGUGAAACCUGGGCUCCUUGGCAAGUGCAAUAGCUCUAGUGUUGUCACAGAAGAGUGUAAUCGGCCCCGACGCAUUGGGUAUGACUCCUAGGUCGGUGAUGAACUCCUUCACCCAGAUUGCUUCAUGUGCUGCCUCCGAGGCUGCCAUGUACUCCGCUUUACAUGUAGAUCCCGCCACGAUGCUCUGCUUGCAACUGCACCAGCUUACUGCCCCACCAUUCAAAAAUAUACACGUAUCCGGCUUGUGACUUCGAGUCAUGCAGAUCUGUGUCGAAGCUAGCGUCAACGUAACACUUUACGAUGAGCUCUUCAUCACCUCCAUAUACGAGAAACAUGUCCUUAGUCCUUUUCAAGUACUUAAGGAUGUUCUUGACCGCUGUCCAGUGUUCGUUGCCGGGAUUACUUUGGUACCUUCCUACCAAACUUACGGCAAGGUUUAUAUCAGGUCUGGUACAGGUCAUGGCAUACAUAAUAGACCCUAUGGCUGAGGCAUAGGGGAUGACACUCAUCUCUUCUUUAUCUUUUGCCGUGGUCGGGCAUUGAGCCGGGCUCAAUUUCACACCUUGCAACAUGGGCAAGAACCCCUUCUUGGACUGAUCCAUAUUGAACUUCUUCAAUAUCUUAUCAAGGUAUGUGCUUUGUGAAAGACCUAUGAGGCGUCUCGAUCUAUCUCUAUAGAUUUUGAUGCCUAACAUGUAAGCAGCUUCUCCAAGGUCCUUCAUUGAAAAACACUUAUUCAAGUAGGCCUUUAUGUUGUCCAAAAGUUCUAUAUCAUUUCCCAUCAAAAGUAUGUCAUCCACAUAUAAUAUGAGAAAUGCUACAGAGCUCCCACUCACUUUCUUGUAAACGCAGGCUUCUCCAUAAGUCUGCAUAAACCCAAACACUUUAAUCAUCUCAUUAAAACGAAUGUUCCAACUCCGAGAUGCUUGCACCAGCCCAUAAAUGGAUCCCUGGAGCUUGCAUACCUUGUUAGCAUUCUUAGGGUCGACAAAACCUUCUGGCUGCAUCAUAUACAGUUCUUCCUUAAGGUGACCAUUAAGGAAAGGCGUUUUGACGUCCAUUUGCCAUAUCUCAUAAUCAUAGUAUGCGGCAAUUGCUAACAUGAUUCGGACGGACUUCAGCUUCGCUACGGGAGAGAAUGUCUCAUCGUAGUCAAUCCCUUGAACUUGUCGAUAACCCUUAGCGACAAGUCGAGCUUUAUAUAUGGUGACAUUACCAUCUGCGUCCGUCUUCUUCUUAAAGAUCCAUUUGUUUUCUGUCGCUCGCCGAUCAUCGGGCAAGUCUGUCAAAGUCCACACUUUGUUUUCAUACAUGGAUCCUAUCUCGGAUUGCAUGGCUUCAAGCCAUUUGUUGGAAUCUGGGCCCGCCAUUGCUUCUUCAUAGUUCGAAGGUUCACCGUUGUCCAACAACAUGAUUUCCAAGACAGGAUUGCUGUACCACUCUAGUGCGGAAUGUGUCCUUGUGGACCUUCGAAGUUCAGUAGGAGCUUGAUCCGAAGUAUCUUGAUCAUCAUCAUUAACUACCUCUCUUGUCGGUGCUGGCACCACAGGAACAUUUUCCUGAGUUGCGCUACUCACCGUUUCAAGAGGUAGUACUUCAUCAAGCUCUACUUUCCUCCCACUUAAUUCUUUCGAGAGAAACUCUUUCUCCAGAAAGGACCCGUUCUUGGCAACAAAGAUCUUGCCUUCGGAUCUUAAGUAGAAAGUAUACCCUGUGGUUUCCUUAGGGUAUCCUAUGAAUAUGCAUUUUUCCGACUUGGUUUCGAGCUUCUCAGGUUGACGUUUCUUGACAUAAGCAUCGCAUCCCCAAACUUUUAGAAACGACAGCUUAGGUUUCUUCCCAAACCAUAAUUCAUACGGUGUCGUCUCAACGGAUUAAGCCAUAGUGACCUGAGAUUAAGAAAAAAAGAAAAAAAAUUGAAAAAAAAUAAAAAAAUCUGAAAAAAAUAUUUGAAAAAAAAUCGUUACUAAUGGCGCAUUUCUAUUUUCUAUGUGGUGCGCCAUUAGUAUACCAGAUACUAAUGGCGCACCAUGGGCUAUUCUAAUGGCGCACCAGCGGUGCGCCAUUAGUAUACCAGAUACUAAUGGCGCACCACAGGUGCGCCAUUAGAAAAAAAAUCUAAUGCGUGGUGCUAGUGGCGCACCUGUAGUGCGCCAUUAGUAGAGAAAACAGGUGCGCCACUAGCAGCCCUUUUUCUAGUAGUGCCACGAUCUGAUCGUAAGAACUUUAUCUUUCGGUCAAGUUGAUUCUCUACCUCAUUCUGAAAUUCCUUGAACUUUUCAAAGGUCUCAGACUUAUGUUUCAUCAAGUAGACAUACCCAUAUCUACUCAAGUCAUCAGUGAGAGUGAGAAGAUAAAGAUAUCCUCUGCGAGCCUCAACGCUCAUUGGACCGCACACAUCAGUAUGUAUGAUUUCCAAUAAGUUGGUCGCUCGCUCCAUUGUUCUGGAGAACGGAGUCUUAGUCAUCUUGCCCAUGAGGCAUGGCUCGCAUGUGUCAAACGAUUCAUAAUCUAGAGACUCUAAAAGUCCAUCAGCAUGGAGCUUCUUCAUGCGCUUGACACCAAUAUGACCAAGGCGGCAGUGCCACAAGUAUGUGGGACUAUCAUUAUCAACUUUACAUCUUUUGGUAUUCACACUAUGAAUAUGUGUAACAUUACGCUCGAGAUUCAUUAAGAAUAAAUCAUUCACCAGCGGGGCAAGACCAUAAAACAUAUCACUCAUAUAAAUAGAACAACCAUUAUUCUCGGAUUUAAAUGAGUAGCCAUCUCAAAUUAAACGAGAUCCCGAUACAAUGUUCAUGCUCAAAGUUGGUACUAAAUAACAAUUAUUGAAGUUCAAAACUAAUCCCGUAGGUAAAUGUAGAGGUAGCGUGCCGACGGCGAUCACAUCAACCUUGGAACCAUUCCCGACGCGCAUCGUCACCUUGUUCUUCGCCAGUCUCCGCUUAUUCCGCAGCUCCUGCUUUGAGUUACAAAUAUGAGCAACCGCACCGAUAUCAAAUACCUAGGAGCUACUACGAGCACUGGUAAGGUACACAUCAAUUAUAUGUAUAUCACAUAUACCUUUGGUUUUGCUGGCCUUCUUGUCCGCUAAGUACUUGGGGCAGUUCCGCUUCCAGUGACCACUUCCCUUGCAAUAAAAGCACUCAGUCUCAGGCUUGGGUCCAUUGCUUGACUUCUUCCUGGCAACUGGCUUACCAGGCGCGGCAACUUCCUUGCCGUCCUUCUUGAAGUCUUCUUACCCUUGCCCUUCUUGAACUUAGUGGUUUUAUUCACCAUCAACACUUGAUGUUCCUUUUUGAUCUCCACCUCCGCUGAUUUCAGCAUUGAAUAUACCUCAGGAAUGGUAUUUUCCAUCCCCUGCAUAUUAAAGUUCAUCACAAAGCUCUUGUAGCUUGGUGGGAGCGACUGGAGGAUUCUGUCAAUGACCGCGUCAUCCAGGAUUUUAACUCCCAGCUGAGUCAAGCGGUUGUGCAACCCAGACAUCUUGAGUAUGUGCUCACUAACAGAACUGUUUUCCUCCAUCUUACAGCUAAAGAACUUGUCGGAGACUUCAUAUCUCUCGACCCGGGCAUGAGCUUGGAAAACCAUUUUCAGCUCCUCGAACAUCUCAUAUGCUCUGUGUUGCUCAAAACGCUUUUGGAGCCCCGGUUCUAAGCUUUAAAGCAUGCCGCACUGAACGAGGGAGUAAUCAUCGGCACGAGACUGCCAAGCGUUCAUAACGUCUUAGUUCUCUGGGAUUGGUGCUUCACCUAGCGGUGCUUCUAAGACAUAGUCUUUCUUGGCAGCUAUUAGGAUGAUCCUCAGGUUCCGGACCCAGUCCGUAUAGUUGCUGCCAUCGUCUUUCAGCUUGGUUUUCUCUAGGAACGCGUUGAAGUUCAGCUGGACAUGAGCGUUGGCCAUUUGAUCUACAAGACAUAUUGUAAAGAUUUUAGACUAAGUUCAUGAUAAUUAAGUUCAUCUAAUCAAAUUAUUUAAUGAACUCUCACUUAGACAGACAUCCCUCUAGUCAUCUAAGUGAAACAUGAUCCGGGUCAACUAGGCCGUGUCCGAUCAUCACGUGAGACGGACUAGCUAACAUCGGUGAACAUCUUCAUGUUGAUCGUAUCUACUAUAUGACUCAUGCUUGACCUUUCGGUCUUCCGUGUUCCAAGGCCAUGUCUGUACAUGCUAGGCUCGUCAAGUCAAAAUAAGUGUAUUACGUGUGUAAAUCUGGCUUACACCUGUUGUAUUCGAACGUUAGGAUCUAUCACACCCGAUCAUCACGUGGUGCUUCGAAACAACGAACCUUCGCAACGGUGCACAGUUAGGGGGAACACUUUUCUUGAAAUUAUUAUGAGGGAUCAUCUUACUUACUACCGUCGUUCUAAGUAAACAAGAUGAAAAACAUGAUAAACAUCACAUGCAAUCAUAAUAGUGACAUGAUAUGGCCAAUAUCAUAUAGCUCCUUUGAUCUCCAUCUUCGGGGCUCCAUGAUCAUCUUCGUCACCGGCAUGACACCAUGAUCUCCAUCACCAUGAUCUCCAUCAUCGUGUCUCCAUGAAGUUGCUCGCCAACUAUUACUUAUACUUCUAUGGCUAACGCGUUUAGCGAUAAAGUAAAGUAAUUUACAUGGCGUUUCUCAAUGACACGCAGGUCAUACAAAAAAUAAAGACAACUCCUAUGGCUCCUGCCGGUUGUCAUACUCAACAACAUGCAAGUCAUGAUUCCUAUUACAAGAACAUGAUCUCAUACAUCACAUAUAUAUCAUUCAUCAUUCAUCACAACUUUGGCCAUAUCACAUCACAAGACACUUGCUGCAAAAACAAGUUAGACGUCCUCUAAUUGUUGUUCCAAGUUUUUACGUGGCUUCUAUAGGUGAUCUAGCAAGAACGUUUUCUUACCUACGUUAAAGCCACAACGUGAUUUGCCAACUUCUAUUUACCCUUCAUAAGGACCCUUUUCAUCGAAUCCGCUCCAACUAAAGUGGGAGAGACAGACACCCGCUAGCCACCUUAUCCAACUAGUGCAUGUCAGUCGGUGGAACCUGUCUCAUGUAAGCGUACGUGUAAGGUCGGUCCGGGCCGCUUCAUCCCACAAUACCGCUGAAGCAAAAUAAGACUAGUAGUGGUAAGAAAGUUGACAACAUCUAUGCCCAUAACAAAUUGUGUUCUACUCGUGCAAAGAGAACUACGCAUAGACCUAGCUCAUGAUGCCAUUGUUGGGGAACGUUGCAUAAAAUAAAAAAUUUCCUAUGUUCACCAAGAUCAAUCUAUGAGUUCAUCCAGCAACAAGAUAGAGAGGAGUGCAUCUACAUACCCUUGUAGAUCGUGAGCGGAAGCGUUCAAGAGAACGGGGUUGAGGUAGUCGUACACGUCGUGAUCCAAUCACCGGAGAUCCUAGCGCCGAACGGAUGGCACCUCCGCGUUCAACAUACGUACGGUCAGCGUGACGUCUCCUCCUUCUUGAUCCAGCAAGGGGGAAUGAGAGGUUGAUGAAGAUCCAGCAGCACGACGGUGUGGUGGUGGAUGCAGCAGGGAUCCGGCAGGGCUUCGCCAAGCGUCUGCGGGAGGGAGAGGUGUAGCAAGGGGGAAGGGAGGCGCCAAGAUGCAGGGUCCGGCUGCCCUCCCUUCCCCCCUCUUUAUAUAGGGUCCCCAGGGGGGCGCCGGCCCUAUGAGAUGGGAUCUCCUGGGGGGGCGGCGGCCAAGGGGGGAGCCUUGCCCCCCAAGGCAAGUGGAGGCGCCCCCUCCCCUAGGGUUCCCAACCCUAGGCGCAGGGGGACCAAGGAGGGUCACACCAGCCCACCAGGGGCUGGUCCCCUCCCCACUUCAGCCCACGGGGCCCUCCGGGAUAGGUGGCCCCACACGGUGGACCCCCGGGACCCUUCCGGUGGUCCCGGUACAAUACCGGUGACCCCCGAAAUUCUCCCGAUGGUUGAAACAGCACUUCCUAUAUAUAAUUCUUCACCUCCGGAGCAUUCCAGAACUCCUCGUGACGUCCGGGAUCUUAUCCGGGACUCCGAACAACUUUCGGUUUGCUGCAUACUAAUAUCUCUACAACCCUAGCGUCACUGAACCUUAAGUGUGUAGACCCUACGGGUUCAGGAGAUAUGCAGACAUGACCGAGACGCCUCUCCGGUCAAUAACCAACAGCGGGAUCUGGAUACCCAUGUUGGCUCCCACAUACUCCUCGAUGAUCUCAUCGGAUGAACCACGAUGUCGAGGAUUCAAUUAACACCUUAUUCAAUUCCCUUUGUCAAUCGGUACGGUACUUGCCCGAGACUCGAUCGUCGGUAUCCCAAUACCUCGUUUAGUCUCGUUACCGGCAAGUCACUUUACUCGUACCGUAAUGCAUGAUCCCGUGACCAGACACUUGGUCACAUUGAGCUCAUUAUGAUGAUGCAUUACCGAGUGGGCCUAGAGAUACCUCUCCGUCACACGGAGUGACAAAUCCCAGUCUCGAUUUGUGCCAACCCAAGAGACACUUUCGGAGAUACCCGUAGUGUACCUUUAUAGUCACCCAGUUACGUUGUGACGUUUGGCUCACCCAAAGCACUCCUACGGUAUCCGGGAGUUGCACAAUCUCAUGGUCUAACGAAAUGAUACUCGACAAUUGGAAAAGCUCUACCUAAACGAACUACACGAUCUUUGAGAUAUGCUUAGGAUUGGAUCUUGUCCAUCACAUCAUUCUCCUAAUGAUGUGAUCCCGUUAUCAGUGACAUCCAGUGCCCAUAGUCAGGAAACCAUGACUAUUUGUUGAUCAACGAGCUACUCAACUAGAGGCUUACUAGGGACUUGUUGUGGUCUAUGUAUUCAGACGUGUGUUACGAUUUCCGGAUAACACAGUUAUAGCAUGAAUAAUAGACAAUUAUUAUGAACACAGAAAUAUAAUAAUAACCAUUUAUUAUUGCCUCUAGGGCAUAUUUCCAACAGAGUGGCCUCAACGCGGUGCUUCGGUGCCGCCAUCUUGGUGGCGAUGUCGAUGUGCUUGGCGCGGAACUCCUACAGCUCGUCCUGGCUGGCAUCGGUGCGAGAAGGAGUCGCUAGGGCGGCCGCCUCCAGCAGAUCCUGGUUGGAUCCGCCAGCGCCUUGGCCGUCGCCAAUGACCAUCGCAUCCGCAAUGAUGCCAGCAUCGGGCGUGCCGACAGGAGCGUCACUGGCGGCAGGAGGGAGCGGAUCAUCGACGACCUCCACGUUGCUGGGGAAGUCAUCGGUGGUGAUUUUGUCGGCGAUGGAGAGCUUGCUGAAGAGGUCAUCAAGGCCGUUCGCCGGGGAGAUGACCUCCGCAGUAGGCGAUGCGUUGAGGCUAGCGCAGGAGGAUGCAUCGGGCUGGCCAAUCUCACCAGCCGCGACAUGCUCGCCGGAAAGGAACAAGGUUCCCGUCCAGAACGUGUCUCCGGCCGACGUCACGGAUGGCCCCACGGUUGGCGCUAGCUGUCGUGGUAAUGUCACGUCAGAUUCCAGGGGGUGGCUUAUCAUGGAUGUGGCCAGAAGUACGUCAUCGCGUCCUGGAAGCGGGAGUGAGCACAAGCUCAGACGGGCACGAGAUCUACCCCGGUUCAGGGCUCUCCUAAGAGAUGAAACCCCUAUUCCUGCUUUGCGGGGUCUCCUCAUGAUAACUAUAUCACAAGGUAUACAAUGGUGCUCCUAGAGCUGUUUGGAUAGAGGAGGGAGAAGGGCAAGGCUAGCUCUCUUCUCUCCCUAGCAGUGGAGUGUGUGGAAUGGAGUGGGAACUGAGGUUGGAACCCUUUGCAUGGGUGAGACCUGGGGGAUUUUAUAGGCCAACCCCCAGGGGUAUAAUGGUAAUCAGGCCGGGUGGUAGGUCCCCGCUGUCAGCGUCUAUGGAGGUCGGGUUCUCUGCCGGCUGCUGGGCCCGCUUCUGGUCGGCCCUGCUGGCUAUCGAGGAACCUACCGACGGGUGGGGCCUGCCGCUUGCGGGCCCCAUCUACAGCUCUUCACUGUUGCACCGCCCAUGCUGACGGAGGCCGUGUCGGACGCGCCAUGGCUACAGUGCGGCGGCGGGCGGGUCGGCGGCCGCCUGGCGGCGCUUACUGUAGCCAUGCGGCCGAGAUUCGGGGAGGCAUGGUACACUGUAGCCAUGCCCCAGCUCGUAGCUUGGUCGGGCUCAGACUCCGAGGGAAGGGGCGGGCCGCCUGCUAGGACUGUCCCGUACCCACACCAUCUUCUGGGAACGCGUCUUCUUCUGGGAGCACGCCGUCUUCUGGAGGUCGGCUGGGUGGCACGAGCCGACUCUGGAAGCCGGUCGUCAGACAUGUCGGCCUGAGGGGCUUGGCUUGCCCCGAUGUCUUGAAAUGUUGUUAAGUGUAGAUAAGGGGGGUCUAUCCCCCCGACACAUAUGAUUCUCAAUAUAAAUGAACCGGACUGAAUUCAUUUUAGAAACAAACAACAAAAUAAUUAAGUAACACUUCAAAUUUGUUCGACUUAAGAAACGAACAUCAAUGUAUGACAUAUAUCUUAAACAUACUAACCAACAGUUCAUCGGCUAGUAUAUUCAUGACUUAUACCUUAUUUCUAAACAUGUUCAACGACAACAAUCAUUUACAAAGCGUUGUGGUUGUUGUCGGUNNNNNNNNNNNNNNNNNNNNNNNNNNNNNNNNNNNNNNNNNNNNNNNNNNNNNNNNNNNNNNNNNNNNNNNNNNNNNNNNNNNNNNNNNNNNNNNNNNNNNNNNNNNNNNNNNNNNNNNNNNNNNNNNNNNNNNNNNNNNNNNNNNNNNNNNNNNNNNNNNNNNNNNNNNNNNNNNNNNNNNNNNNNNNNNNNNNNNNNNNNNNNNNNNNNNNNNNNNNNNNNNNNNNNNNNNNNNNNNNNNNNNNNNNNUCAAGGCAUAUAAAAGUCAAGUUAUGCGGCAAAACUAAUAAAAACUCAAACACAAUGUUCAAUGGCAGUAUUUGUUCAUGGAUGGUUUAACUAAUAAAGACAUAUUAGAAGACAAUACUAGCAUAUAAAUGAUACAAACGAUGGUGCCCAAUCAAAGGAUGGAUUGAUAUAGCCUCCUAUAACUGCAUGUUCAAUAAAGUAAGACAUAUGACGCCUCUCCAAGGGCGACUAGGGUUCCUGCCGCCCUGCGGCGCGGCGCCGAUCCAUGGCCUUAGGUCCAUGGGUCGUGGUGGAUCCCGGCCCUUGCCGACGGGAGGAUUCCGUUUCUAGAUAUUUCUUUGAGUUUUUUGGGGGGUUUAUGUCCUGCUCAGGAAGGCGAGACGGCGGCGGUAAAAAGAAGAACUUAGCAGGUUUAAUAACAAACGCAAAAUGUGAAUUACUAAAUCGGUUUCCACAUUUAUGUUCUCUGCAGAACAACAAAACUAAGGAAAACAAUAUGAAAAGGGAAAAGCAUUAAGAAUUAAAGACCAUGUUUGUAUCAAGCAUCAAACAGUGGGAACUAGCAAGAGAAAUUCCCCGCAAAAAAACUAGCAAAAGAAAUUGGGAUUUGAAAACAGUAGCAACUAGCAAGAGAAAUCUCUUCAUCAGCUAGCCUAAGACGGGUCAUCUUCCUUUUCUCGACAAAAGGACUCCCGUUCGCGACGGACUAGCAGCACAUGCCCUUGUUCUCUUUAACUUUUUUGACAUUGGCCUGGCCAAUGGCCCAGCAAGAGGGGUAGGAAGUGGGCUGUGCCCCAGGCCAGUUUUUUCUCUCUAGAUAUAUAGGUUGGGAAGUUUGAGACCUCCUCUUCGGCGCCAUAGGCGCCGGUUCCCUUAGCGGGCGCUCACAGCAGUGUCGCGUCGGCCGGCACAGCUAGGAGCCUCGGGCUCGCUCUAUCCCAUCGCGACGCUGUUGCGUUCGUUCGUUCUUUCUUUUUUUGUUUGUCGCUUCAUUCACAAACCUGAAAGCACAUGGAUAAAAAAUAUGAAUUCAAAAACAGUUCAUUAAUUUGAAAUUUUCAUCAAUUCUAAACAAAAAAUUCAUCUCUUUUGAAACACAUUUCACAAGAAAUUGAAUUUUUUUAUCGAUUUUGAAAAAAGUUCAUCGAAUUUGAAAAAGGUUCAUUGAAUUUGAAAAAAAAAGUUCAUUAAACUUGAAAAACAUUCACCAAAUUUGGAAAAAAGUUCACCAAAUUUGAAAAAAGUUCAUAAAAAUGAAAAAAAGUUCAUCAAAAUUUGAAGAAAAGUUCAUCAAAAAUGUAAAAAAGUUUCAUCAAAAUUUGGAAAAAGUUCACUGAUUUCAAAAAAAAAUCAAAUUUGAAAAACAUGAAGAAAAAAAGUUUCACAAAUUUUAUAUAGAAAAGGAAAAGGCAACAAGAAAAAGGAAAGAAAGAAGAAGAGAGGAAGAAAAACAUGCACGAGAUCACAACAAGUCAAGUGGUUUGUUGGUCGACGAGUCGUACCCUUAAAUUUGUCAUGCUGGGAUCGAAUCCCAGCACUCCUGCACUUUUUGCAGUUUAGAAAACCAGAGAAAGGGUCAAAAUGGGCCGGCCCUAACGUGACGAGGGGUGUGUGCGCCCGUUAGUAGAAAUAACUGUAUCGGGUGUAGAAGGCGCCGAAUAGGAUUUAGCGGGAAGUUUCUCACGCCCCAGGCCAUUGCCUGGGCUGCCUGGGGCCUAGAUCCGCCCAUGGUUGUUGUACCUUAUGGUGAUUAUCACUAGUGUGUGGACCCUUAAUUUUCUCUUUCCCGUUAUGAACUCCCGUCAGCCGGACUCAUGUAAGGAUAUGCGGCCGUCUGAUUCCGUCUUGUACUAAACGGUAGUAACACGCCCUGUUGGUCCAUGACAUACUCCAGAUUUGCUGACGACGGGGAUGUCCACUCCGGAAAACAUCUUUAGAGGUAAUUUCUGAACUUCCCCGUCAUUAAGAGGAAAUUGAGAGCACGCUAUGUUACACAUCUCACCAUAUUUUGUUAUGAACAAAAAAAGAUGAAAGAAUACAAAACAUCUGACCAUGACGUUUUCGACGACGUUGGGUUUAGUUAAACGGUGCACAAACGGCUUCCCCAAGACGGCCACAUUGAGGGAGUACGAAGCAGCACAUUUUGUUUCCAUAAGAAAAUAUAUUUUCCGAACAGAUGGUGUAUAUAUACUUUUGCUAAACUGCUGGCCGGUCGGUCGCGGUAUCUCUGCACCAACCAUCCAUGCGUAAAGGCACGGCCUUCUUCUCCGUCGCGUGCUUGUGCUUAGCCUUGACUCUGACGUACCGGCGUACCAGUCGGACCACCCUCCUUCCCACCACAUGUCCAGGCAGCUGUUUCCUUGCACCAGCAGCUGAUUCUGCGACUCCAUGGACACCAGCCGUGGCGACGCCGAUCUCUCCUUGGCUUCCGGUGGCAGCGCCGUGGUCCCUGUCGUCGUCCCCGUUGAUCGUCUCAUCCAUGAGCUCCUGUAGCGAGAAAUUAAGCGAGUUAUCCUGACCUUCCUCCUGCGGCUCCUGGAGGUAACACGCCGUCCCUCCAUCAUCUCCCUCUAGCUGCAGCGAUGUCUUGUGCUCAGACGGUGGCUUCAGCUGAUGAGCAUCUCGGUCGCAAUCAGCAGCAACCAACCUUGCAGCAGCCGGUCUUCUUAUUGUCCUCCUUGACAUGCUAGCGUCGAAUCUCCGAGGCCGGUUUUCGUCGCGUGACGCGGUUGCCAUUGUUGGUCCAGUGAACCUAUUUGGAAGAAGCAGAAGAAGAUCACAUGGAUUUUGUAUGGUGUACUCGGACUUGGGAGGGAAAGUUGUUCAUAUAUAUACAGCCAGCAGGCCAGGGAGAUCAGGACCUAGGUGGCUAGGUGCUUGAUGCGUCUACGUGCACGCGUCUGCCAGGAGCUAUCUGAUCAAUGUUAAGUAGGACAAAAGGCAGCCUAUGCAUGGUACACAAAAAGAGUAUUGAACCAAGAACAAGGUUGUGGGUAGUACGGGCAGGUUUAUAUCUCCAUGGCAGGUACAGGGAUGUACUACUAGGGAUAACUUAGGGAUAAAGCCCAAGUAAUGCAUGGAGGGUACUGAUCCAUAUGCCAUAGACGAACUCUUCUAAUCCAAUCCAAGAACCAGGACGAUGUGACUGAACGUGAGUGAUUCCUAGAAAAAAGUUAGACCUCUUGAAGAAGUUGGACCUUCAUGAUCUUCCUCACACAACGCCAAUUGAUCAAACCAGAGGCUUUGGCAGAGUCAAGCUUCAAGACCGUGGUGGGAGCAAUUCUCUUGUGGCAGUAUUGCACCAGCUCCGUAAACAAAACAUUCAGAAGCAGCCGGCAAUGAAGCCGAAUUGAUCAACGUCGACGACGAGCAUGCUGAUUUGCUGCUGCAGCCUGGAGGUGAGCCCAUGGCAGAGGAUGUUUACAUCACAGUUUAAUUGGGAGAUUUGAUGGAAUACAACAGGGGUGGGGAUUACAUCUCGCUUGGGGAGAAGGACCACAAACGUCCUGUUCUUUUUGUUCCAUUUUUUUUUCAUUUGCCUUGCCUUAUGACAUACUUUUUCUCUAUUGAUCAAUAAAAAGCGCGGCCGCCUGCCUUUUCGUCAAACAAAAGUUUAUCUUAAUAUAUCAAACAAAAGUUUGCCUUGAUAUAAAACAUUGCAUAAAACAAAAUGAUCAAAUAAGCACCCUCCCCUCUUUCUUGAUCAAUGAAAAGCAAGGGCAUGUGUAUUUGGACAGUUUUUGCUCCCACAGUUCAAGUUUGUGCAUGAAGACAUUCAAUUUCAUGAGUUGAUGGACUAUAACCAAAUGCAUCAUGAAAGUUUGUGUACCGACAGUGCUAUUACCUCAGUAUAUCAUACUACACAAUGUAAAANNNNNNNNNNNNNNNNNNNNNNNNNNNNNNNNNNNNNNNNNNNNNNNNNNNNNNNNNNNNNNNNNNNNNNNNNNNNNNNNNNNNNNNNNNNNNNNNNNNNNNNNNNNNNNNNNNNNNNNNNNNNNNNNNNNNNNNNNNNNNNNNNNNNNNNNNNNNNNNNNNNNNNNNNNNNNNNNNNNNNNNNNNNNNNNNNNNNNNNNNNNNNNNNNNNNNNNNNNNNNNNNNNNNNNNNNNNNNNNNNNNNNNNNNNNNNNNNNNNNNNNNNNNNNNNNNNNNNNNNNNNNNNNNNNNNNNNNNNNNNNNNNNNNNNNNNNNNNNNNNNNNNNNNNNNNNNNNNNNNNNNNNNNCUAUGUUACUGAAAACAAAGCCAAAACUUGCUCACGACGCUCAGGCGACGCCAAAGUAGCUGAGCCAAAAGUUUAAACCCCACAAGAAGCCUCAAUAGGCUGGGGAAAUCCAACGACACAGUGCGAAAAGGAAGCGAAAGCAACAGGCUUACAUGCUAGGUAUUAGCAUCAACAUUUUUCUAGCUGGAAUGAGCCCUCAGGAUCAUCUAAGAUUCUUUUGGAUCUUAAUUAUAAGCUACUAUAUUUGGAAAAACAAGAUUUUUAUUCAUAAACAAGCAACUGAACAGUUUGUAGUUGAGUUGCUCAAAAUAUCAGGUUCAAAUGCCUGAUUUUUAGGAGCAUUCACCUCGCACAAGAAAACUUUCAGUUUUGCCGCCAAGGUUUGGAAGAGGCAACACCGUUAAAUUGCCCAAUUUGUUGUUAAUCUAUUUGAUUUCUUGGAAGAACAUCGUAACCUGUCAGCAGAUGAGGAUCUUCUUCACGUAUCGCGUUGAUGCCUUCCAGUGCCUCGCCGCUUCCACUAAACGACAAGGUGUCCAUUCGAAGCAACAUGGCAAUGCAAGGCGGUGAAUGCUCUUGCCUUAUAGCAGUGUCGUAGCAAUGUGAUUCGUGCCCUCAACGUCGACGACGAGUUGGUCUUCGAGCAUGAGGCCAAGAUAGCGGCUCUCCUAGGCUUCUACUCUUGAGUUCCUGGUCCGACCCAGGGAGCCAGUCUGGCACUUCAAUCUCGACGCUCUAUACUACCAGGGCUGCUCGUGUUGACAUGCUAGUUUUAGUGGCCCAUUUUGAUCGUGCGGAGAUAAAGGCUGUGGUGAACCUGUUGGAUCACUCUAGCGCUCCUAACCCCGACGGGCUUGGCCCAAUCUUUUAUAUGGCGGCCUAGAGUACGGUAGCUGGCGGCACGGGAAAAUCUUAUGCCACGCUCAUUGCGGCACAUCGUCGGGGCUUUCAUAGCGAUCUAACCCGAGGGCGGGAGAUGGGCCGACCCACUUUUUGCAUUUUAUUUUUCAUUUUAUUCGUUCUUUAUUAUUUAUCUUUCAUUUUUGUUUAUUAAUUUUUCUGUUUCUUUUAGUAUUAUUUUUUAUUUAUUUUUCGAGUGCAUUUGUUUAAAAAAAUCAUGUUUAUCAAAAUAACUGUUUGGAAUUUUCAAAAUAAUGGUGUUUUUCAUAAAUUGUUCAAAACUUCAGAAACUGUUCCUCUUUUUCCAAAUUUGUUCAUUCAAUAUAUAUUCACAUUUUUGAAGUUUUAAGGAAUUUUCAAAAGAUUAUUCAGAAUUUCAGAAAAUGUUCUAGUUUUAAAUUUUUGUCCCUUAAAAUAAAAAAUUGUUCACAUUUUUGAAAUAUGAUUGGAAUUUUUCUAAAUUUGUUUAGAAGUACAAAAAAUAUUCUUGAUUAAUUUUGCCAUAAACUCAUAGUUGUGGCAUUUUCGUAAAAUGAUUGGGAUUUUUCAAAUGAAAUCGUGUUUUGCGAAAUUGUCCAAUUUUUUAAAAAAUGUGCUGGUGUCAAAAUGUUUUGAAAAUUGGGGAAUUUUAUAAAAUAUGCUUCAAAUAUUAAAAUAAAAACGCUACAUGAAAAAAUCACUAUGAGGGACCAAACCCACGAUACAGUGUGCUAUGCUGCUAAUAGGCCGGCCCACUCCAUCUUGCAUCUAUCUGUCGCGUUGCUAAUUGUCGCCAUGAGCGGUAUAUAGGAGGUCACCCUGAAACACCUCUUUGAUGAGGUGCACACCAGCAUUUCUAACCUUGACGUGAUCAACAGAGUCUUCAUCAUCCUCCUCCCCAAGUAUGAUAGUAUUCUCUCCCAGGGUGCUUUCCGUCUGAUUUUUCUGAAGAUGGACGUAGAGUUUCUCUGCAAAGGGCUCAGCUCCAAUCUGUAGAAGCAUAUAAGCCACAUCAUUGACACCAAUCAGUCCGAGUGCAUUGUGGAGUAGAACAUUUCAAAACAUUUCGUGCACACCUCCGAGAUUAUGCAGUACUGACAUAAUUAUUGGGCCUCCAUACCGUAUCCUCAAGAUGGUGCAAAUGCAGUUAAACAAAUUAGUAUUCAUUGUUUAGUGAGUGCACACUAAAUUUUUUGUUGUUGUGGUCAAGUGUACCGUAUAUCCAUGUUUUGUUACUGAUGUUAUUAUUUCAUUAAUCUUAUAAAUAAACCAACAAGACAACUUGUGAAGGAAUAACUAAAAAUUAACGCGUUUAGGUGGCCGCCGGGACCCUAAGCGGCGGGAUGCGGUCGUGACGAAAAUAGAAGAGAAUGAGUAUGUUGAGCAGACCUGAGAUGAUGCAUCUGGAGGGCUAAGUUUUCUUCUCUCGUAAACAUCCUCAAGAAACAUCUAUUGCUGCCCGCUGAGUGGCAGUGUGAGUGCUAUUGCUGGGUUAAUCACAACAGUAUAUAUCGCUAACUUUACUUGGAUUUCAUGAAUAAACAUUAUACAUGCAUCACAUUAUUCAAUAAAAGAACUCUCAGGGGAAAUCAUUUCGCUCAGAAAAAACAUUAAGGAAAAUCCAAGCCACAAGGUGAAUAAAAAUAAAUUAAAUAUUUAUACUAAAUUUUUAUAUUUAUUUGCAAGCAUUUAGUAAAUGUUAAUAACAGUGUUCUCUAUGCCUCCUGUGUAAUGUAUCUAGUUUCAAAAAAUCGAAUACACUGUGCUAAAUAUGAACCGUACAUGUAAUGAGAGUUACAUAUAUAACUUUGUCUCUUUUUGUUGUCUUAAAAUACAUAUUUGAACCAAAUCCCCAAAAUGUGAGAAAAAUAAUAAAACAUAAAAUUGUAUGCUUUAAUGGAUAAUUUGUGAUACUUCAUGAACACAUUUUAUAUGUCUCUAUAUAUCCUAAAAUAUCUUGGUAGAGCUCUUUAAAGAGUAUGGUCUCAGAAAUAUCCUCACAGAGUUCUAGAAUACGUCUAUGUAAAUAUUAAAUGUAGACUACAUAAAAUGUUUACAAGAUGCUUGUCAGCCGAAUCACCAGCAUGAUGUUUUACACAUUUUUGUGGUCAAAUGUGUCUCGCAUGUUAGGGAGGGUUCAACAAUCCAUAAUAAAUGUAUAUGCACUAUAUUUUGAAUUGAAAUUGAAUCACUCACAUUUGUGGCUCAUGCCCACUAUAUUAGGUCGAGCUGCGUCUCCACCACUUGCAACGAUAACAUUGUCAUCGACCAGACCCUCUGUGUCCCUCGGGGUGGCACCAGGCUCUUGAAGGAUCGAUCAGUACUUGCUGCCCGACAUGCUACUGCCGGCGCCCUUCACCAACGCCCUCUUCCAGUACAUUAGCAUUCCCCAGCAGGCAACCGGUAACUUGCCGCAGCUAGAGCCGGUUGCCCUCAACGUAGGUGACUAACGUGGAGCAGCAAGAAUACUGCCAAGAACGCCGCCGGCUCGUGAUUGUCUGACUUGUUUGUCACAGACAAGUGGCUCAUGGCGUAUAUUGCUGUUGAUCAAAGCUUAUAAAGUUUGUUUUUUGAAGAAAUUAAUUGUCAUUCUACUAUAAAACAGAGGGGGUUACCAAAAAUGAGAGCUCUGCUGACCAAUAUAUAAGAAAGAAAGCCAUGUAGGAGGCCAUAAGGAACAAAGCAAGAGGUGUAACAAUGCCGUGUCUGACAUGUAUGUUCUUGAACAUACUAGCCAAACCAAGCAACAACAUUUUUUCCAAAAAUAGGCGGCACCAUGAGAAGAAUAUGUUACUUACGAAUCAGAGGAGACAGUCAUCACGGAAUGAUCAUUUGCAGUGUAUGGAGACUCCCGGAAGCUUGAAGAUACUCCACUGCAGAAACAGAGUAAAAUUUCGGUGCCUUACUCUCCAAGACACAGUAUAGAUGCAUGCAGUCUGUAGCGACAUCCAAGAUGCUUGAGUUGUAGGCGCCAGCAAAAGCGAGCUAGAGAGCAGUUGCACCGGAGACUAACCGAAGCAAGUUCAUGUCAGUAUGGCGAUAGGAGCUUCUGCACUACUAGGAUGUAUGCAUUGGACUGAAUCCGAAGUAAUGUUUCCGGAUUACUAAUAGGUUAAUAGAAACUGUUGUUGAUUUGGCAAGUUUAUAUUUCAACUUUGUACACACAUAUUUGGCAACCAAUUUUUGGCAAUACUCCAUUGGACUGAAUCCGAAGUAGUGUCUCCGUGAAUUACUAGUAGGAAGGAUGAGGAUGUACUACUGCAAUGCAAGCAAUUUUGCACCAUUCAAAGUCUGAUUCAACUCUGAACACACAUACUACAGUAUUUCACAGGAAAGUCUAUCAUAAAAGACACAUGGCAGCAACAGAGCAUCCGUCAGACUAACAAAUGUUCAAUCUGUUUGUUUGGUUUUUCAUCAGCCAUCAUCACUGUGCUAGUGAUUACCAAGAAAGCAGGACCUAUUCCAAUGUAGUGUCUGCCAUGGAUGUUCUUGCACAUUUAACCAAACUAAGCAGAAACAUUUUCCAAAAAAAGGCGGCAUCAUCAGAGAAUAUGCCAGUAAUGACACUCUCCAUUCUUCUUCCGUGACUGCAGUGGAAACUCUCCCAGAAGCUGAAAGAUAAUCCACUACAGAAACAGGGUAAAUACUACAAUGGAUGCAAGAGACUGCAGUGUCAUCCAAGAUGCUUGAGCUGGAGACACCAGCAAGAGCAAGCUAGAGAGCAACUGCACUUGAGAGUUGAGACAAACUGAAGCAAGUUUGUGUCAGCCAGGCACUGGAGCUUCCUUCUGCUGCUGCAGGAAUGAUGUCUAGAGAACACGUCUUCAUAGAUUAUUAGCAUGAACGAUGUACUACUGCAAGCAAGCUGGAAAUCCCAACAGAGUGGCAACAGAGCCUUGGUUGCUUAGAAGGUUGGAAAUCCCAGUUGCUUAAUUGUUGUUGGAAGUGCUACUCAUGAUGGCUUUGGAAGAAAGCACUACUACAAGUGGCAUGAUAAAACUUGAUUCUUCCAAUUACUCAUUAUGGAAGCCCAUGAUGGAAGACAUCCUUUAUUGCAAGGAUUUGUAUGAGCCAAUUGUGAAAGACAAGCUACCCACCGGUGUCACGGAAGAAGAAUGGAGAGUGUUGCACAGAAAGGCAGUAGGUAUGAUUCGGUUGUACAUCAAUCACAAUAUUUUCCACCAGGUUGCAAAUGACACAAAUGCAUAUGAGAUGUGGCAGAAGUUAGAGUCUAUGCAUGAGAGGAAGACAUCAAUGAGAAGGCCUCGGUGAUCAAAAGACUUGCAAAGCUUGAGUACCGAGAAGGCACAAGUGUGAUUGAGCACUUGAAUGUCUUCCAAUGCCAUAUAAAUCAACUUUCAGCCAUGAAAAUCAACUUUGAAGAUGAGGUGCAAGCAUUGUUGCUGCUGAGUUCCUUGCCUGAUAGUUGGAACACCCUUGUUGUGUCACUUAGCAAUUCAGCUCCGGGUGGGAAGCUGACUUUGGAGAUGGUGAAGAAUAGUAUGCUGAAUGAACAAGCCAGAAAGAAGGAAAAGGGUGAUGCCUCUUCUUCUGAGCCGUAUGUGGCUAAAACUCAUGGGAAGAAUGAGAACCGUGGAUGCAGCAAUACAAGAUUUCAGCAAGGCAAAAGAAAAUCCAGGGGGAGAUCAAAGUCAAAAUAGAGAAAAGAUAUUACUUGCUUUCAUUGUUGCAAUCCGGGACACAUAAAGAGCGAGUGCAGGAAGUACAAAAGAGAGCUUGUAGAGGAGAAACUCACAAGAAAACCGAGCAAAAGGCUGAGAGCAGUUCAGCCAUGACUGCAACAGAUGAGGACUAUCUAGUCAUUGAAGAUGAAGAUUGCUAUAGUGUUGUUCAUGAUGAUGCCAUGAGUUGGAUUGUGGAUUCAGGUGCAUCCUUCCACAUCAAAUCACACAAGGAGUAUUUCACAUAUUACACUAGUGGUGUUACUGGUCAAGUGAGGAUGGGAAAUAGUGGUUCGUCAGCAAUUGUUGGCAAGGGCUCUAUAUGCAUUAAAACAAACACAGAUUGCAGAUUGGUGUUCGAUGAUGUGAGACAUGUUCCCGAUAUAAGGCUGAAUUUGUUGUCAGUGGGCAAGCUUGAUGACAUCAAACAUUCUAGUUAUAUUGGUGAAGGAAAGUGGAAGCUCACCGAAGGCUCUUUGAUUGUGGCUCGAGGAAGUAAGCAAUGUAAUCUCUAUGUGAUUAAAACCAUGUUGUGCAAUGAGAUGUUGAACAUUGCUGAAAAAGAAACUUCACUUGAAUUGUGGCACAAGAGGCUUGGACAUAUGAGUGAGAAGGGCAUGCACGCUCUUGCUCGCAUGGAGUGCCUCCCUGGAUUGAAAGGGAUAUCCUUGAAACCCUAUGCACAUCGUUUUGCUGGCAAACAACAUAGGGUUGCAUUUCGUACACUCCCUCCACAUCGUGCAGAAAAUGUUCUUGAUAUUGUGCACACUGAUGUUUGCUCCAUGACUGAAAAAUCUCAUGGUGGAGCAUUAUACUUUGUGACUUUUAUUGAUGACCAUUCCAGAAAGGUUUUUGUGUAUGUGCUGAAACACAAAUACCAGACGCUUGAAGCCUUCAAGGAGUUUCAUGCCAAAGUUGAAAAAGAAACUGACAGGAAAUUGAAGUGCGUGAGAUUAGACAAUGGUGGUGAAUACCGAGGUCCUUUUGAAAGGUAUUGCAGAAAUUUUGGCAUCAGGCUUGAGAAGAGUCCACCAAAGAUACCUCAGAUCAAUGGUCUUGGAGAGAGAAUGAACAGGACACUCACAGAGAGGAUGACAUCUAUGCUCUCUCAUCCUCACUUACCUAAUUUAUUUUGGGCUGAAGCAUUGAUGAAUUCUAUGUAUGUGGUUAACCUAUCUCCCUCAGUUCCCCUUGCAGGUGAUAUUCCUCAGAGAGUUUGGUCAGGGAAGGAGGUAUCAUACAAGCACUUGAAGGUUUUUGGUUGCAUGGCAUUUGUACAUGUUCCAACGGAUGAGAGAUCCAAGCUUGAUAGCAAGACAAAGUAGUGCAUCUACCUUAGCCAGCCAAGUGAAGAGUUUGGCUCCAUGUUGUGGGAUCUAGCCAAUAUGAAGAUUGUGCGAAGCCAGGAUGUGGUGUUCAUUGAAGAUGAAACAAUAAAAUAUAUUGGGAAACCAAAGAAGCCAAUGAACAACACACCUCAGGUUGACUUGGACCUAGUCCGUCAUCCUCUCAUGAAUGACAAUCAUGGGGGAGAUGCUGACGCUGAUGACAGUGGAGAUGCAACUGAUCAAUGCAGUACAAGUCAAAGUGAUGAGCAGCCAUCAAGUGAUGAUGAUGAUGAAGUUGGUAAUGAUAAUGCCAACAAAAAUCCACCUGAUUCACCACUAGUACAACAGUAAAGAAGAAGUGAAAGAGGUCAAAUUCCUUCUUCUAAGUAUCCACCACAUCAAUAUGUGUUGAUGACAGAUGCAGGUGAGACCUGAUGCUAUGAGGAGGCAAUGUCCGAUGAGAACAAGGAAGAGUGGUCAGAAGCCAUGCAGGAUGAGAUGAAUUCCCUGUAUGAGAAUGAUACUUUUGAGUUGGUGAAUCUGCCAAAGGGCAAGAAAGCACUCAAAAACAAGUGGGUGUACAGAGUGAAGACUGAAGAAAACACCUCACAUCCAAGGUACAAGGCCAGAUUGGUUGUGAAAGGUUUUAGUCAGAAAAAGGGUAUCGAUUAUGGUGAGAUAUUCUCUCCGGUGGUCAAGAUGUCUUCAUCCGAGUUGUGCUUGGCAUGGCUGCUACCAUGGACUUGGAAAUUGAACAACUUGAUGUGAAGACUGCAUUCUUGCAUGGUGACAUAGAGGAGGAGAUAUACAAGGAGCAACCAGAGGGAUUCAUGGUUGCAGGCAAGGAGCACUUAGUUUGCAAAUUGAAGAAGAGCUUGUAUGGCCUGAAACAAGCUCCUCGGCAGUGGUAUAAGAAGUUUGAGUCUUUUAUGAAUGGGCUUGGUUACCAUAAAGCACAGCCUGAUCAUUAUGUCUUUGUGAAGAGGUACGCCGAGGGUGACUUCAUUAUUCUCCUAUUGUAUGUUGAUGAUAUGCUGAUUGUUGGAAAUGGCACAAAGAGGAUUGUUCUCCUUAAAAAGGCAUUGAGUAAAGCAUUUACCAUGAAGGAUUUAGGACCAGCUAAGCAAACACUUGGCAUGAAGAUCUCCCGUGAUAGAUCAAAGAAGCUGCUUUGGCUCUCACGGGAAAGAUACAUUGAGAAGGUACUUGAAAGGUUCAAUAUGAAAGAUGCAAAAUCUGUUAUCUCUCCUCUUGCAGGCCAUCACAAACUGAAUUCUAAACAAUGUCCUACAAGCAAGAAGGAGAAAGAAGAAAUGAGAAAAGUACCUUACCAAUCUGUUGUGGGCAGUUUUAUGUAUGACAUGGUAUGCAUUAGGCCUGACAUUGCCUAUGCAGUUGGAGUUGUUAGCCGGUUCAUGACAAAUCCAGAUAAAGCUCACUAGGAAGCAGUGAAGUGGAUUCUCAUGUAUCUCAAUGAUACUUCUACAUCUAGUUUACGCUUUGGAAGCGGUGAUCCUGUAUUACAGGGCUAUACAGAUACAAAUUAUGCAGGUGACAUGGAUCGUAGGAAGUCCACAUCUGGAUACCUGAUGACUUAUGCAGGGAGAGAAGUGUCAUGGCAAUCAAGAUUGCAGAAACAUGUUUCUACAUCAACUACUGUAGCUGAUUACAUUGCAGCAGUUGAUGCUGGCAAGGAAGUUUUGUGGAUGAAGACCUUCUUGCAAGAGCUUGGCAUGAAGCAAGAGAAGUAUGUUUUGCUUUGUGACAGCCAGAGUGCUAUUCAUCUUGCCAAGAAUUCAAGCUAUCACUCUUGAACAAGCACAUUGAUGUGAGGUACAAUUCCAAGUUGCUGAAACUUGAGAAGAUCCAUACUGAUGACAAUGGUUCAGAUAUGAUGACCAAGAUAGUGCCAAAUGAGAAGCUACAAGCAUGUUGCAAAGUAGCAGGCAUGGCGGUGCCCCCGUCAUGAGUCGGAGGGGGAGAUUUGUUGGUAUAUCCUCCUCAUGUGGGAUGUAAGGAGAUGACCGUUUGAGGCCUUUUUAGGCAGCCCAUAGAGGUGCAGAAGCCCACUACCCAUUAGGGUUAUGACCUAGGGUCAUUUUGAACUUUGCACAUGAGAGGAUGGGGAUGCUUUACCCUUCAUCCAGUAGCCACCACCAGGUGUGACAAAAAUCAGUUCAUCCUUCAAGGGAGAAGAAGAGAGAAAACCAAGAGAGCAAGGGAAGAAGAGGAAGAUUGAAGGAAGAAACAAAGGGAGCUCCUCCCCAAGGUUGUGAUUGUCCAUAUCCACUACCUUGUCUCCGUCAAGAUUUAGUUCCACCAUCUUUGAUGAGAUUGUUCCAAUCCCUAGUUCUUGAGCCCAAAUCUUGUUGUGUUCAUCCAAGAUUCAGAAAUCUUGAUGUAUGAGAUCCUCUAGUGCUGUCUAGAGAAGAACUUGUUAUAUCCCACAUUUGAUAAUAGUGGAAGAGGAUUUGGGUGGCUUCAGCCCAUGGUUUUCCCCCUCAAGUUGGGGGGUUUUCCACGUAAAAUCUGGUGUCUCUCUGUUGAUGCUUGUUGCUGUCCAGGAAAACUUACUCCUACCACAAGACACUAGGCUAAGGAGUGUCUUGCCUGCUGAGUAAUAUUUUCUGCCUCCAUAUAUGCUGCUACAUAUGUUUCCUUCCGUGCUAAGCAACGAUCCUUUAGUUAGUACAUGAUGUGAUGCUGAGAUUAUUUGUUUCCGCUGCAGUUUUCAGUUAACCACAAGUGCGUUUGUGUGCUUAUUCUCAACAGUUUUUGCUCCCACCGUUCAAGUUUGUGCAUGAAUUUUAGGAGGAUUCACCUCGCACAAGAAAACUUUCAGGUUUUCCGCCAAGGUUUGGAGGAGGCAACAUCGUUAAAUUCCCCAAUUUGUUGUUAAUCUAUUUGACUUCUUGGAAGAAAAUCCUAACCUAUAAGCAGAUGAGGAUCUUCUUCACGUAUCGCGUGGAUGCCUGCAGUGCCUCGCCACUUCCAUUAAACGACAAGGUGUCUAUUGGAAGCAACAUGGCAAAUGCAAGGCGGUCAAUGCUCUUGCCCUAUAGCUCCUAGCAAUGUGAUUCGCGCCCUCAACAUCGACGACGAGGUGGUCUUCAAGCAUGAGGCCAAGAUGGCAGCUCUCCUAGGCUUCUACUUUUGGGUUCGUGGGCCGACCCAAGGAGCCCAUCUGGCACUUUGACCUCGACGCUCUGUACUACCAAGGCUACUCGUGUUGACAUGCUAGGUUUGGUGGCCCAUUUUGAUCGUGCGGAGAUAAAGGAUGUGGUGAACCUGCUGGAUCAGUCUGGCGCUCCUAACCCAGAUGGGCAUGGCCCAAUUAUUUAUAAGGUGGCCUAGAGUAUGGUGGCUGGCGGCCCGCAACAGGAAAAUCUUAUGCCAUGCUCAUUGCGGCACAUAGUCAGGGCUUCGAUAGCGAUCUAACCCGAGGGUGAGAGAUGGGCUGGCCCACUUUUUAUAUUUUAGUUUCUUUCUUUUUAUUCGUUCUUUUUUUUUAUCUUUCAUUUUUUGUUUAUUAAUUUUUCUGUUUCUUUUAGAGUCAUUUUUAAUUAUUUUUUCAGUUCAUUUAUUUAAAAAAAAUCAUGUUUAUCAAAAUAAAUGUUGAAAAUUUCAAAAUAUUAUUGUUUUUAUAAAUUGUUCAAAACAUUAGAAACUAAUACUAAUAAGCUAGCAUGAACGCGCCAAGGCGGCCUCUGGGACCCUAGCCGACGGAUUACGGUCGUGAUGAAAAUAAAAGAGAAUGAGUAGCUUGAGUAGGUCAGGACGAUGCAUCUGGUGGGCUAAAUUCCCUUAUCCCGAAAACAUUCUCAAGAAAAAUAUACUGCUGCCAGUUUGGUGGCAGUGCGAACGCUACUGCUGGACUUAUCAUAGCGGUAUAUAUCGCCAACUACCCUUGAAUUUCGUGAAUGAACAUUGCAAUUCAUCACAUGGUACCAUAAAAGAGAUCUCAGUGAAAUCCUUUCGCUCAGGAAAAACAUUAAGCAAAAUUCUAGCCACAAGGUGAGUAAAAAUAAACUAAAUAUUUAUACUAAAUUUCUAUACUUAUUUGCAAACAUUUAGUAAAUGUUAAUAACAGUGUUCUGUAUGCCUACUCUGUAAUGUCUCUAGUUUCAAAAAAUCGCAUGCAUUGUGCUAAAUGUGAACCAUAUAUGUAAUGAGACUUACAUCACAUUGUCUCUUUUUGUUGCCUUAAAAUACAUAUUUCAACCAAAUCCCCAUAAAUGUGAGAAAAAAUAAUAAAACAUAGAAUUGCAUGCUUUAAUGGAUAAUUUGUGAUACUUAAUGAACACACUAUAUAUUUGUCUGUAUAUCGUAAAAUAUCUUGGUAGAGCUCUUUAAAGAGUAUGGUAUCAGAAAUAUCCUGACAAAGUUCUAGUUCAUGAUUAUGUGUAUGUAAAUAUUAAAUGUAGAGUACAUAAAAUGUUUACAAGAUUCUUGUCAGCCGAAUCAUCAGCAUGAUGUUUUACCUAUUUUUUGUGGUCAAAUGUGUCUCGCAUGUUAGGGAGGGUUCAACAAUCUAUAAUAAAAUGUAUAUGCACUAUAUUUUGAAUUGAAAUUGAAUCACUCACAUUUGUGGUUCAUGCCCACUAUAUCACUAGGUCGAGCUGCAUCUCCACCACUUGCAACGACAACAUUGUCGUCGACCAGACCCUCUGUGUCCCUAGGGGUGGCACUAGGCUCUUGAAGGAUUGGUCAGUACUUGCUGCCCGACAUGCCACUGCCGGCACACUUCGCCAACGCCCUUUCCCAGUACAUUAGCAUUCCCGAGCAGGCAACCGAUAACUUGCCGCAGCCAGAGCCGGUUGCCCUCAACAUAGGUGACUAAGGUGCAGCAGCAAGAAUACUGCCGAGAACGCCAUCGGCUCAUGAUUGUCUGACUUGCUUGUCACGGACAAGUGGCUCAGGGUGUAUAUUGUGGUUGAUCAAAGCUUAUGAAGUUUGAUUUUUGAGAAAAUUAAUUGACACUCUACUAUAAAACAGAGGGGGUAACUAAAAAUGCGAGCUCUGCUGACCAGUAUAUAAGAAAAGAAAGCCAUGUAGGAGGCCAUAAGGAACAAAGCAAGAGGUGUAACAAUGCCGUGUCUGACAUGUAUGUUCUCGAACAUACUAGCCAAACCAAGCAGCAAUCUUUUUCUCCGGAAAUAGGCGGCACCAUCAGCAGNNNNNNNNNNNNNNNNNNNNNNNNNNNNNNNNNNNNNNNNNNNNNNNNNNNNNNNNNNNNNNNNNNNNNNNNNNNNNNNNNNNNNNNNNNNNNNNNNNNNNNNNNNNNNNNNNNNNNNNNNNNNNNNNNNNNNNNNNNNNNNNNNNNNNNNNNNNNNNNNNNNNNNNNNNNNNNNNNNNNNNNNNNNNNNNNNNNNNNNNNNNNNNNNNNNNNNNNNNNNNNNNNNNNNNNNNNNNNNNNNNNNNNNNNNNNNNNNNNNNNNNNNNNNNNNNNNNNNNNNNNNNNNNNNNNNNNNNNNNNNNNNNNNNNNNNNNNNNNNNNNNNNNNNNNNNNNNNNNNNNNNNNNNNNNAGGAACGUACAUAGCUCCGCCAUUGACCAUCAGAAGAAUAGGUUACUUACGAAAUCAGAGGAGACAGUCAUCCUGGAAUGAUCAUUUGCAAUGCAUGGAGACUCCCAGAAGCUGAAAGAUACUCCACUGCAGACACAUGGUAAAUAUUUUGGUGUCUUACUCUCCAAUGUACACUAUAGAUGCAAGCAGUCUGUGGAUUAUAUUUCAACUUUGUACACUAUAGAUGCAGACACAGGGUAAAUAUUUUAACAUGGUUAAUAGAAACUGUUGUUGAUUUGUCAAGUUUAUACUUCAACUUUGUACACACAUACUUAUUUGGCAAGCAAUUUUUGGCAAUACUCCAUUGGACUGAAACCGAAGUAGUGUCUUUGUAAAUAGGAAGAAUGAGGAUGUACUACUGCAAUGCAAGCAAUUCUGCCCCAUUCAAAGUCUGAUUCAACUCUGAACACACAUACUAUUUCACAGGAAAGUCUGUCAUAAAAGACACAUUGGAGCAACAGAGCAUCCUUCAGACACUAUAAUGGUAGCAAAUGUGCAAUCUGUUUGUUUGGUUGUUCAUCAGUCAUCAUCACUGUGCUAGUGAUUACGACCUCAGUAAUACUCCAAAAAUGCAAUCAAGUAGAAGAUUAAUUCUUGCUGCAAGAGAAAUAAAGUUAGUGCAAAUUUCGGAGCUAUGUGGUACAUAACGGUGUAGUAGUUCAGUCUACAGGGGAGCAAGAACAGUAAUAGCAAAGGGAACGACAAUUAGUUAACUGAAUCAUUGUAUUUUCUGAAGAGAGAUUGGGAUUUGGGAAUGUGCUAUUUGGAACUGUAUGCACUAAAUCUAUAAGGAAAAGAAAAGAAAAAGGCAAGGCAGGAGGCCAGAAGGAACAAAGCAGGGGCUCCUACCAUCGUUCAGAUAGAAUGAUGUUUCUGUCAUGGAUGUCCAUGGACUUAGUUCAGAGUUCAGACAAACAAGUUCAUGUAUGUCCCCCGGAGUGCUCAUGAGCGGCGACAUCCAAGAUGUUUGGGUUGAGGCACCAGAUGUGAGCCAGACAGCAACCACACUUGAGACAAACUGAAGCAAGUUCAUGUCAGUCUGGCAUUGGAGCUUCCUUGUGCUGGUACUGAAUUGCCUAGGAUGUACUCCCUCCGUUCCAAAUUACUCGUCGCUGAAAUGGAUGUAUCUAGAACUAUUAUACGUGAGACAAGUAAUUCGGAAUGGAGGGAGUAUAUGCAUUAGACUGAAUCUGAAGAAAAUGUCUCCAUAGAUUACUAGUAGGAAGGAUGUACUACUGCAAUGCAAGCAAAUCUUGCACCCGUUUCAUAGGAAAGUCUGACAUAAAAAAUGUUGUUGAUUUGUCAAGUUUAUAGAUAUCUCAACUCUAACACACACACUUCACAGGAAAGUCUGACAUAAAAGAAAGGCAGAUUGGAGUAGCAGACAUUGGAUUCGUAUAUGGCAAAAUGUGAAACCGAUUGUUUGGUUGGUUGGUUGUUUACAAUUACUCUCUGUGCCAGGGAUUUCGAAAAUAGAUAAUACUCCAAAAAUGCAAUUAGGUACACGAUUAAUUCUUGGAAAAAGAAACGAAAUUCAGAGCCAGGUGGUACAUAAUGGUAUUGGAGUUCAGUCUACAGGGAGCAGCAGCAAAGGGAACGACGACGAUUAAUUAACAGAGAAGAGAACGGCGGAAAGCAAAAGCAGGAAGCAUCACUAGGCGGCGGUCUCCUCGGCGGCGGCGGCGGCGGAUUCUUGGCCGGACUGAGACUCGAGGGGCGGGAGGAGCUGGGCCUUGCGGCGGGUGUCGCGGGGCGGGACGGGGACGGCGAGGAAGUGCUUGGUCUUGGAGAUGGGGCGGGAGCGGACGAGCUCGACGACGUCGCCGACCUUGAACUGGUUGUCGGGGUCGUGCGCCUGGUACUUCUUCUUGAUCUUCUCCCGGCGGUGGUACUUUGGGUGCUGCCUCAGCCGCGCCACCUCCACCCCCACCGUCUUGUUCGCCUUGGUCGUCACCACCCGCCCCGUCAGCUGCUUCGCCGCCUCGAUCCGCAGCACCAUCCCCGCCGCCGCCGGCCGCGCCCCCGCCCCCGCAUUGGGGCUCGCCGAGAGGUGGAGCUGGGUGAACGGCGACGCGAAGGAGGAGCCCAGCAGCAUCUUCUUCGUCUUCCUUCUCUCGCUCUCGCUCGAAGGUGGAGGUGGGAUUGGGAAUGGGAUAGGAUAAAGAUAAGGUUUUUUUGCUCGGGGUUUCUUUCCAGGAGCAGGCCUCCUGCUCUGCUCCGCCGGACUACUUAUAUUUGGGCCUCGAGUACACGUGGCUUUUCACAAGACAGAAUUGAGAAGACAGUUCUAAACAAGAGUAAUUUUCUUGAGAGGUCAAACCGGUAAUUUUCUUGCAAUGCAAUCUCUUAACUGGGAAAAAAAUCAGCUAAAAAGAGGAAAAUAUUUGUGCUACAAGAGAGUAUUAUUUUGAGAGGUUAACCCAUUUCUUUUAGGGCAACAGAGGACCCUGUUGUGGACUUUAUUGAUAUUUUCAAAAGUAAUUCGUACCAAAGAAAGAUGGCUAAGAGAGUCAUCAAACUAAAACACAAGAAAGAAAAACAGAGAAUACUAGGCAAGCUAUGUGACUUUUGGUCGAACCCUCUCUUAAGAAACCAAAGACACCCUAUAUAUCCAGAACAUAAGUCAGACUUGACGCAUGAGCUAUGUCGACAUCUUAUUAUUAUUAUUAGGAGAAAACAAUCUAUUCAUCAACUGAGAAGGUAGUACAAAAAACACUAUAUAAUAUAGGAAAGCCGGCGAACCUUCGAAAAACCAAUUAAACUGAGUACAAGUUUGAUGAAGGUUAGCCUCUCUUUUCCUAGUCCAUCUCAUAAGGCACUAAUACUUCAAACAAACCUCCUUGUCUCGUGGUAUCGUGCUUGUCCAUAACAAGAAGGGGCCAGCAACGACAAUUUUUACCUCGCCAUCACCGAUGGCACAUCUAUAUCGAGUUCCUGACUUAUGUUGCAAUGUUUGGGCGUGAAGCAUACACGACCUUGUGCAGUGCUAUCAUCAGAUUCGGAGUAGGUCUGGACGACAACUUCCAGGGUUCCUUUAGCUUCAUAGAAGCAUCUCACCUUGAUAGGUGAUGGUAACCAUGUCCAGCCUGCAGGCAUUUCACCAUCUCUUCAAUCGAACACAUAAGGCUACUUUGAUGAGGAGUUAGUAAUGCAAGUUAUUACACCAUUGAUGACCGCAGGCGUCUAUGAUCGUGAGGAGCCAGCAACUCGACUGCUAUAUUCAAAAAUCGAUGGCUUAUCUUUGACGAUCUCAAUGCUCAACUCAAUAUAAAGGCAUGCACAAUUUUCCAACUUUCUUCGGGUUUAAGUUCUUGAUGCAGAACCAGCUCUUAAAGAAAAUGGUAGAUAAACAAAGAGCACCAUGUCCCCCGCUGUAAUGCAACGUGGCGUUGAUCAAUGCCCGAUCUCGACACUUUGUUCUACCUUUGCCCAUCAGCCGAAUCUCAAAGUCCAACAAUGUCAACAGACACAAUCUCACGUGGGUGGGACAAUUUGACUUAGAAAAGGAUCCUGCAAGCGAAAGUACUACACAAGCAGCAAAAUAGGUACAAACCUACACGAAGUAAACGACACAUGCAUGUUAAACAAGAUGGAGUGAGGUAACUAAGCACUAGUGAGGGGAUAACCACUCACUCAUGUUAGUGAAAAAGCCGCUGGAUUGGCGCCAUAGAAAUUACCAGCCAAGGCGGUACAAACUAAAUUGCCCGAUACAAACACGUGUAUCGAUAUCGGGCCGAUACAGAUACGUAAAUAGUGGACAAUGCAGUGUCCUGGGGGGGAUUGAGGAGAGCAAUGCACUUGUCUUUGAGAUCUAACUGGACGGCUACAUGUUGUUAUCUAUGUUGGCUUCGAUGGCUGCAAACUCACACCAAUCAAGUACCCUCGAUUAAUUCAGAGAAGUGUCAUGGCUGUUAGAUGGCUUUCUGACAUCUCAUAGCGAGCAGGGGCUUCCAAAGUUGGAGUGUUCAUGAUCUGAGAUGGAUGAAGCUGAGAAAGGGUUUGUCAAAGUCAACGUAGAUGCAUCAUUUCAAUUAUUAGAGAGGAUUCUUCGUGGCGGCUACAUGCUCUAUAUUACCCUUUGUAGCAGAUGUUACUACCGCCGUGGCGGAUCCAGAAAUUCAACUUUGGGUGUUCAAAUUUUUUCCACCCAAACACAAAUUGCCCCAUUCAGUUGGGGAUCAGAAAUGACCGCAUCUAGUUCAAAAUCAAUCAAAGCAAUGAGACAAUCAGACCCACACUCCAUACAUGAGCCACUUUUGCCCAUGAACUAUAUAUAGAUUUUGUCAUACGAUUUCCUAUGUUCAAGUAAUAAGCAAUUCACAAUGUCGAGUAUGGUUCACAAACUUCAUUGGGAACUAACAAACGAUAAUCUUAGUCACUGAAGCAAUUGCAAUUUAUCGUAACAUCAGAAAGAGUCAAUAAUAGAGCUUUUAAGCAAGCUCACAUACUCAACUAUCUCGUAGUCUCCUAUAAUUGUUAACACUCACGCAAUACUUGUGGUUGUAGAGUUUCAGCCGGACACUAAGAAAGAUAGGGGCUUAUUGUGUUGCCUCCCAACGUAUUCACCUUUAGGUGAUGUCAACAAUAAUAGCCUAUGCCAACUUACAUCCAAUUGGAUAUAUGUAUCAUGAUCUUUCAAACACGAGGAGCUUGCCAAAGGAUAAAAUGAAAAAGGGAAAGGUGAGGAUCACCUUGACUCAAGCAUAAAGUAAAAACAUAAAGUAAAAGAUAGGCCCUUCGCAGAGGGAAGCAGAGGUUGUCAUGCGCGUUUAGGGUUGAUGCACAAAAUCUUAAUUCAAAAGGACGUCACUUUAUAUUGCCCCUUGUAUGUGGACCUUUAUUAUGCAGUCCGUCGCUUUUAUUACUUCCACAACAAGUUCGUACAAAGCUUAUUUUCUCUGCACUAAUAAGUCAUGCAUAUUUAGAGAGCAAUUUUUAUUGCUUUCACCGAUGACAACUUACUUGAAGGAUCUUACUCAAUCCAUAGGUAGGUAUGGUGGACUCUCAUGGCAAACUGGGUUUAAGGAUAUUUGGAAGCACAAGUAGUAUCUCUACUUGGUGCAAGGAAUUUGGCUAGCAAGAGGGGGGAAAUGCAAGCUCAACAUGUUUGGAAUGUCAAUGACAAUAUACUUUAAUUGAGAUGUCGGAAAACAUAAACCAUUACGUUGUCUUCCUUGUCCAACAUCAACUCUUUUAGCAUGUCAUACUUAAUGAUUGCUUCACAAUCAUAAAAGAUGUCCAAGAUAAUAUAUUUAUAUGUGAACCCCUCUUUCCUUAUCACUUCCUAUUAAUUGCAACGAUGACCAAGGCUACGUUCAUCAACUCUCAACAAUUUUUAUGCCUCAUACUUUCUAUGUGUGAAGUUAUCACUAUCCAUAAGAUCAAUAUGAACUCUUUUGUUCUUUCUAAUUUCUCAAGAUCAUAGCAACAUAGCAAAGUCCUUGACUCAACACUAAUCUUUAUUAUAGAUAGCACACGGACUCGAUUACAUAGAGAAAUCACAAUGCAGAACUCAAAACUACUUGAUAUCAAAACUUCAAACUACUAGAUCAAAAUACUACUAAAAGGAUCGAACUAAAUAAAGCGGUAAAGAUAGGAGUGUGAUGGUGAUACGAUACCGGGGCACCUCCCCCAAGCUUGGCAGUUGCCAAGGGGAGUGCCCAUACCCAUGUGAUUAUUUCCUCGGAGGUGAUGGAGGUGGUGAUGAUGACGGUGGAUAAUCGCACAUCGAGCGUAAAAGCUCCUCUAACUUGCGGAUAAUGCCCUUGAGCCUAGCAAUAUGAUCCUUCUGUUGGGGAACGUUGCAGAAACAACUUCUGGCUAUAUCACAUCACAUGAUCAAUCGCUGCAAAAACAAGUUAGACGUCCUCUAAUUGUUGUUGCAUCUUUUACGUGGCUGCGAUUGGUUCUAGCAAGAACGUUUUCUUACCUACGAAUCACCACAACGUGAUUUUGUCAACUUCUAUUUACCCUUCAUAAGGGCCUUGUUCAUCGAAUCCGCUCCAACUAAAGUGGGAGAGACAGAUACCCGCCAGCCACCUUAUGCAACUAGUGCAUGUCAAUCGGUGGAACCGGUCUCACGUAAGCGUACGUGUAAGGUUGGUCCGGGCCGCUUCAUCCCACAAUACCGUUGAAGCAAGAAAAGACUAGUAGAGGCAAGUAAGUUGACAAGAUCAACGCCCACAAUAAAUUGUGUUUUACUCGUGCAUUAGAGAACUACGCAUAGACCUAGCUCAUGAUGCCACUGUUGGGGAACGUUGCAGAAAAUAAAAAAAUUUCCUACGGUUUCACCAAGAUCCAUCUAUGAGUUCAUCUAAGCAACGAGUCAUGGGAGAGAGUUUGCAUCUACAUACCACUUGUAGAUUGCGUGCGGAAGCUUGCAAGGUGAUAAUGUAGUCGUACUCGACGUGAUUCGAAUCACCGAUGAUCAAGUGCUGAACGGACAGCACCUCCGCGUUCAACACACGUACGGUACGGGUGACGUCUCCUCCGUCUUGAUCCAGCAAGGAGGAAGGAGAGGUUGAGGAAGACAGCUCCACCGGCAGCACGACGGCGUGGUGAUGGUGGAGAAGCGGUACUCCGACAGGGCUGCGCCGAGCACACAACGAAGGAGGAGAGGUGCUGGGGAGGGGAGGGCUGCGCCUUGGCUUGUGGUGCGGCUGCCGUCCCCUCACCCCUCUAUUUAUAGGGGGAAGGGAGAAGGGGGCCGGCCCCUCUAGAUCCAUCUAGAGGGGGGGCGGCGGCCAAGGGGAGGGGGGACUUGCCCCCCAAGCAAGGGGGGGCGCCCCCUCUAGGGUUCCCCCUCAACCCUAGGCGCAAGGGCCCAAGGGAGGGGGUGCGCCAAGCCCACCAGGGGCUGGCCAACUCCCCAUGCAGCCCAAGUGCCCCCCCCGGGAGGGGUGGCCCCUCCCGGUGGACCCCCGGAGCCCUUCCGGUGGCCCCGGUACAAUACCGGUAUGCCCCCCGAAACUUUCCGGUGUCCUUUUAACAGCUUCCCAUAUAUAAAUCUUUACCUCCGGACCCUUCCGGAACUCCUCGUGACAUCCGGGAUCUCAUCCGGGACUCCGAACAACAUUCGGUAGUCACAUACUAGUCUUCCUAAUAACCCUAGCGUCACCGAACCUUAAGUGUGUAGACCCUACGGGUUCGGGAGACAUGCAGACAUGACCGAGACGACUCUCGGGCAAUAACCAACAGCGGGGUCUGGAUACCCAUGUUGGCUCCCACAUGCUUCUCGAUGAUUUCAUCGGUUGAACCGAUGUCGAGGAUUCGAUCAAACCCUGUAUGCAAUUCCCUUUGUCAAUCGGUACGUUACUUGCCCGAGACUCGAUCGUCGGUAUCCCAAUACCUUGUUCAGUCUCGUUACCGGCAAGUCACUUUACUCGUACCGUAAUGCAUGAUCCCGUGGCCAACACCUUGGUCACCUUGAGCUCAUUAUGAUGAUGCAUUACCGAGUGGGCCCAGAGAUACCUCUCCGUCGUACGGAGUGACAAAUCCCAGUCUCGAUCCGUGUCAACCCAACAGAUACUUUCGGAGAUACCUGUAAUGCACAUUUAUAGUCACCCAGUUACGUUGUGACGUUUGAUACACCCAAGGAACUCCUACAGUAUCCGGGAGUUACACGAUCUCAUGGUCGAAGGAAGAGAUACUUGACAUUGGCAAAGCUCUAGCAAACAAACUACACGAUCUUUUAUGCUAUGCUCAGGAUUGGGUCUUGUCCAUCACAUCAUUCUCCUAAUGAUGUGAUCCCGUUAGCAACGACAUCCAAUGUCCAUAGUCAGGAAACCAUGACUAUCUGUUGAUCACAACGAGCUAGUCAACUAGAGGCUCACUAGGGACAUAUUGUGGUCUAAGUGUUCACACGUGUAUUACGAUUUCCGGAUAAUACAGUUAUACCAUGAACAUAAGACAAUUAUCAUGAACAAUGAAAUGUAAUAAUACUUUUAUUAUUGCCUCUAGGGCAUAUUUCCAACAGUCUCCCACUUGCACUAGAGUCACUAAUCUAGUUACAUUGUGAUGAAUCGAACACCCAUAGAGUUCUGGUGUUGAUCAUGUUUUGCACGCGAGAGAGGUUUAGUCAACGGAUCUGCGACAUUCAGAUCCGUGUGCACUUUGCAAAUCUCUAUGUCUCCAUCUUGAACAUUUUCACGGAUGGAGUUGAAACGACGCUUGAUGUGCCUGGUCUUCUUGUGAAACCUGGGCUCCUUGGCAAGGGCAAUAGCUCCAGUGUUGUCAUAGAAGAGUUUGAUCGGCCCCGACGCAUUGGGUAUGACUCCUAGGUCGGUGAUGAACUCCUUCACCCAAAUCGCUUCAUGCGCUGCCUCCGAGGCUGCCAUGUACUCCGCUUCACACGUAGAUCCCGCCACGACGCUCUGCUUGCAGCUGCACCAGCUUACUGCUCCACCAUUCAACAUAUACACGUAUCCGAUUUGUGACUUAGAGUCAUCCAGAUCAGAGUCGAAGCUAGCGUCGACGUAACCCUUUACGACAAGCUCUUCGUCUCCUCCAUAAACGAGAAACAUGUCCUUUGUCCUUUUCAGGUACUUCAGGAUAUUCUUGACCGCUGUCCAGUGAUCCUUGCCGGGAUUACUUUGUUAUCUUGCAACCAAACUGACGGGAAGGUUUACAUCGGGUCUGGUACACAGCAUGGCAUACAUAAUAGAUCCUAUGGCUGAAGCAUAGGGGAUGACACUCAUCUCUUCUUUAUCUUUUGCCGUGGUCAGUGAAUGAGUUGAGCUCAAUCUCACACCUUGUAACAUAGGCAAGAACCCUUUCUUGGAUUGAUCCAUUUUGAACCUUUUCAAAAUCUUAUCAAGGUAUGUGCUUUGUGAAAGACCUAUGAGGCGUCUCGAUCUAUCUCUAUAGAUCUUGAUGCCUAAUAUAUAAGCAGCUUCUCCAAGGUCCUUCAUUGAAAAACACUUAUUCAAGUAGGCGUUAAUGCUGUCCAGAAGUUUUGUAUCAUUUCCCAGCAAGAGUAUGUCAUCUACAUAUAAUAGGAGAAAUGCUACAGAGCUCCCACUCACUUUCUUGUAAACGCAGGCUUCUCCAUAAGUCUGCAUAAACCCAAACGCUUUGAUCAUCGCAUCAAAGUGAAUGUUCCAACUCCGAGAUGCUUGCACCAGUCCAUAAAUGGAUCGCUGGAGCUUGCAUACUUUGUUAGCGUUCUUAGGAUCGACAAAACCUUCCGGCUGCAUCAUAUACAGCUCUUCCUUAAGAUGUCCGUUAAGGAAUGCUGUUUUGACGUCCAUCUGCCAUAUCUCAUAAUCAUAGUAUGCGGCAAUUUCUAACAUGAUUCGGACGGACUUCAGCUUCGCUACGGGAGAGAAUGUCUCGUCGUAGUCAAUCCCUUGAAUUUGUCGAUAACCCUUAGCGACAAGUCAAGCCUUAUAAAUGGUAACAUUACCAUCCGCGUCCGUCUUCUUCUUAAAAAUCCAUUUGUUUUCUAUCGCUCGCCGAUCAUCGGCCAAGUCUGUCAAAGUCCAUACUUUGUUUUCAUACAUGGAUUCUAUCUCGGAUUUCAUGGCUUCAAGCCAUUUGUUGGAAUCCGGGCCCGCCAUCGCUUCUUCAUAGUUCGAAGGUUCACCGUUGUCUAACAACAUGAUUUCCAGGACAGGGUUGCCGUACCACUCUGGUGCGGAACGUGUCCUUGUGGACCUACGAAGUUCAGUAGCAACUUGAUCCGAAGUACCCUGAUCAUCAUCAUUGUUUUCCUCUUCAGUUGGUGUAGGCAUCACAAGAACGGUUUCCUGCGCUGCACCACUUUCCCGUUCGAGAGGUAGUACUUCAUCAAGUUCUACUUUCCUCCCACUUACUUCUUUCGAGAGAAACUCUUUUUCCAGAAAGCAUCCGUUCUUGGCAACAAAGAUCUUGCCUUCGGAUCUUAAGUAGAAGGUAUACCCGACAGUUUCCUUAGGGUAUCCUAUGAAUACGCAUUUUUCCGACUUGGGUUCGAGCUUUUCAGGUUGAAGUUUCUUGACAUAAGCAUCGCAUCCCCAAACUUUUAGAAACGACAGCUUAGGUUUCUUUCCAAACCAUAAUUCUUACGGUGUCGUCUCAACGGAUUUAGACGGUGCCCUAUUUAAAGUGAAUGUAGCUGUCUCUAGAGCGUAUCCCCAAAAUGACAGCGGUAAAUCGGUAAGAGACAUCAUAGACCGCACCAUAUCCAAUAGAGUGCGAUUACGACGUUCAGACACACCGUUUCGCUGAGGUGUUCCAGGCGGCGUGAGUUGUGAAACGAUUCCACAUUUCCUUAAGUGUGUACCAAAUUCGUGACUCAAGUAUUCUCCUCCACGAUCUGAUCGCAGGAACUUUAUCUUUCGGUCACGUUGAUUCUCCACCUCAUUCUGAAAUUCCUUGAACUUUUCAAAGGGCUCAGACUUGUGUUUCAUUAAGUAGACAUACCCAUAUCUACUCAAGUCAUCGGUGAGGGUGAGAACAUAACGGUAUCCUCCGCGAGCCUCAAUGCUCAUUGGACCGCAUACAUCGGUAUGUAUGAUUUCCAACAAGUGGGUUGCUCGCUCCAUUGUUCCGGAGAACGGAGUCUUGGUCAUUUUGCCCAAAAGGCAUGGUUCGCAUGUGUCAAACGAUUCAUAAUCAAGAGACUCUAAAAGUCCAUCAGCAUAGAGCUUCUUCAUGCGCUUGACACCAAUGUGACCAAGGCGGCAGUGCCACAAGUAUGUGGGACUAUCGUUAUCAACAUUACAUCUUUUGGCAUCCACACUGAGAACAUGUGUAAUAUUACGCUCGAGAUUCAUUAAGAAUAAACCAUUGACCAUCGGAGCAUGACCAUAAAACAUAUCUAUCAUAUAAAUCGAACAACCAUUAUUCUCAGACUUAAAUGAGUAGCCAUCUCGUAUCAAACGAGAUCCAGAUACAAUGUUCAUGCUCAAACUUGGCACUAAAUAACAAUUAUUAAGGUUCAAAACUAAUCACGUGGGUAAAUGUAGAGGCAGCGUGCCGACGGCGAUCACAUCGACUCUAGAACCAUUCCCGACGCGCAUCGUCACCUCGUCCUUCGCCAGUCUCCGUUUAUUCCGCAGCUCCUGCUGUGAGUUACUAAUGUGAGCAACGGCACUGGUAUCAAAUACCCAGGAGUUACUACGAGUACUGGUAAGGUACACAUCAAUUACAUGUAUAUCAAAUAUACCUUUGGUGUUGCCGGCCUUCUUAUCCGCUAAGUAUUUGAGGAAGUUCCGCUUCCAGUGACCCUUCCCCUUGCAAUAAAAGCACUCAGUCUCAGGCUUGGGUCCAUUCUUUGACUUCUUCCCGGCAACUGGCUUACCGGGCGCGGCAACAUCUUUGCCGUCCUUCUUGAAGUUCUUCUUCCCCUUGCCCUUCUUGAACUUAGUGGUCUUAUUGACCAUCAACACUUGAUGUUCUUUCUUGAUUUCAGCCUCUGCUGACUUCAGCAUCGAGAACACUUCAGGAAUGGUCUUCACCAUCCCCUGCAUGUUGUAGUUCAUCACAAAGCUCUUGUAGCUUGGUGGGAGCGACUGGAGGAUUCUGUCAAUGCCGCCUCAUCUGGGAGGUUAAUGUUCAGCUGGGUCAUACGGUUGUGCAACCCAGACAUCUUCAGGAUGUGCUCACUGACAGAACUAUUUUCCUCCAUCUUACAACUAUAGAACUUGUCGGAGACAUCAUAUCUCUCGACCCGGGCGUGAGCUUGGAAAACUAGUUUCAGCUCUUCGAACAUCUCAUAUGCUCCGUGAUGCUCAAAACGCUUUUGGAGCCCCGGUUCUAAGCUGUAAAGCAUGCCGCACUGAACGAGGGAGUAAUCAUCAACACGUGUCUGCCAAACGUUCAAAUCGUCUUGCAGUGCUGGGAGAACAGGUGGGUCACCUAACGGUGCUUCUAGGACAUAUUGUUUCUUGGCAGCUAUGAGGAUGAUCCUCAGGUUCCGAACCCAGUCCGUAUAGUUGCUGCCAUCAUCUUUCAGCUUGGUUUUCUCUAGGAACGCGUUGAAGUUCAUGUUGACAUGAGCGUUGGCCAUUUGAUCUACAAGACAUAUUUGCAAAGGUUUUAGACUAAGUUCAUGAUAAUAAAGUUCUAAUCAAAAUUAUGAACUCCCACUUAGAUUAGACAUCCCUCUAGUCAUCUAAGUGUUACACGAUCCGAGUCGACUAGCCCAUGUCCGAUCAUCACGUGAGACAGACUAGUCAUCGUCGGUGAACAUCUUCAUGUUGAUCGUAUCUUCCAUACGACUCGUGUUCGACCUUUCGGUCUCCGUGUUCCGAGGCCAUGUCUGUACAUGCUAGGCUCGUCAAGUUACCCCUAAGUGUUUUCGCUGUGUAAAACUGUCUUACACCCGUUGUAUGUGAACGUAAGAAUCCAUCACACCCGAUCAUCACGUGGUGCUCAGAAGCGACGAACUGUAGCAACGGUGCACAGUUAGGGGAGAACACUUCUUGAGAUUGGAUCAUCUUAUUUACUACCGUCGUCCUAAGUAAACAAGAUGCAUAAACAUAAUAAACAUCACAUGCAAUUAUAUAGUUGUGACAUGAUAUGGCCAAUAUCAUAAAGCUCCAUUGAUCUCCAUCUUCGGGGCUCCACGAUCAUCUUGUCACCGGCUUGACACCAUGAUCUCCAUCAUCAUGAUCUCCAUCAUCGUGUCUUCAUGAAGUUGUCACGCCAACGACUACUUCUACUUCUAUGACUAACGCGUUUAGCAAUAAAGUAAAGUAGUUUACAUGGCGUUCUUCAAUGACUCGCAGGUCAUACAAAAAAUAAAGACAACUCCUAUGGCUCCUGCCGGUUGUCAUACUCAUCGACAUGCAAGUCGUGAAUCCUAUUACAAGAACAUGAUCUCAUACAUCACAAUUCAUCAUUCAUCACAACUUCUGGCUAUAUCACAUCACAUGAUCAAUCGCUGCAAAAACAAGUUAGACGUCCUCUAAUUGUUGUUGCCUCUUUUACGUGGCUGCGAUUGGUUCUAGCAAGAACGUUUUCUUACCUACGAAUCACCACAACGUGAUUUUGUCAACUUCUAUUUACCCUUCAUAAGGGCCUUGUUCAUCGAAUCCGCUCCAACUAAAGUGGGAGAGACAGACACCCACCAGCCACCUUAUGCAACUAGUGCAUGUCAAUCGGUGGAACCGGUCUCACGUAAGCGUACGUGUAAGGUUGGUCCGGGCCGCUUCAUCCCACAAUACCGUUGAAGCAAGAAAAGACUAGUAGAGGCAAGUAAGUUGACAAGAUCAACGCCCACAACAAAUUGUGUUUUACUCGUGCAUUAGAGAACUACGCAUAGACCUAGCUCAUGAUGCCACUGUUGGGGAACGUUGCAGAAAAUAAAAAAAAAUUCUACGGUUUCACCAAGAUCCAUCUAUGAGUUCAUCUAAGCAACGAGUCAUGGGAGAGAGUUUGCAUCUACAUACCACUUGUAGAUUGCGUGCGGAAGCUUGCAAGGUGAUGAUGUAGUCGUACUCGACGUGAUUCGAAUCACCGAUGAUCAAGUGCUGAACGGACAGCACCUCCGCGUUCAACACACGUACGGUACGGGUGACGUCUCCUCCGUCUUGAUCCAGCAAGGAGGAAGGAGAGGUUGAGGAAGACAGCUCCACCGGUAGCACGACGGCGUGGUGAUGGUGGAGAAGCGGUAGUCCGACAGGGCUUCGCCGAGCACACAACGACGGAGGAGGAGAGGUGUUGGGGAGGGGAGGGCUGCGCCUUGGCUUGUGGUGCGGCUGCCCUCCCCUCACCCCUCUAUUUAUAGGGGGAAGCACUACUAGGGAAAAGGCUAUACACAAAAUCUUAGCAGCAGCGCGGUUCAAAAAAACAGCGCUAGUGCUAUUUAGCAGUAGCGAGCUACUAGAAACCGCGCUACAGGCACAAACUUAGCAGUAGCGCCUGUUGACCAAAAAGCGCUACUACUAAUAUUCCCAUUGGUAGAAUGCUAGGCUACGCAUAGCAGUAGCGAUCUUAGAAGGAACGCGCUACUGCUACAUCACAGUUAGCAGCGCGUUUCUGUGGAAGAGCGCUACUACUAACAAAAAUAAAAUAAGAUGAUAAACAAAUAGAAAUUUAAAUGAAAAUGAAAUAAAUAGAAAAAGAAGAAAGGGAAAAAUAAAAUGUAAAGCAAAAUAAACGAAAAAGUGAAAAAUCGGAGGAAGGCAUAGCAGCAGCGUUUGUUUGUAAGAGGCGCUAUAGCUAACGUAGCUGCAGCGCGUGCCCUAGACCCCCGCUAUAGAAACAGAAUAGGAAAUUAGCUAUAGCAGCAUUGCGUUUUGGGGAAAGCGCUAUAGCUAACUUAGCUAUAGCGCGUUUUGCGAAACGCGCUACCGCUAAGUUUGACUUAGCCAAAAAACCGUUUCCCCCGCCCCGGCCACCACUUCCCCCAAAUCCCUCAAACCCCA
rnacentral:lncRNA from 1 species